CAAUGCGUCCGAUUUUCAUCCCGGAACGAGCAAGCGCCCUGAGGGCAGACUGGGCACCAGGUCCAGGGGUCUUGGUCUUGUUGCCUCCGGUGGCACGAAGCUUAAUGUGCAGUGCAGUAAUGCCAAGCUCCUGAAGACAAAAUACCGGCCACAGAUCACUUAUCCGGAUAUACAGCAACACUAAAGCAGAGCUACGUAAUCCUAGGCUUCAAUGUAAUUAUUAAGACAACGUCUUCUUUGGAUACACAGACGGACAAAUGAGUGAGUACCUUGCAGCGCUGUGCGACAUCUUGAGCAGCAAGCAUAGCAGCGUAAGGUGACGACUCGUCACGGUCAGCCUUCACCUUCAUGCCACCUACAGGGUUCAGGUUUAGCACAUCUCAGUUAAAACCAUAUACAGCUGCCACCUAGGUCGUGCACAGCCAAGGUUUUAGGAUGGUACCGGUGAUCCGAACCAGAGUUUCCCUCCCAGACAAAUCAGUGAUAUGCUGCAGAUAUUACAACAAGACACAGUUCAGUUAAACUUGAAGUGAAUGAAAAGGUCUAACCACAGAUGGCGCAUAUGAUACUUACAAUGAAGGUGUCAUUGAAGGAUGCAAAGAUGUGAGCAACACCAAAGACAUACUCUCCUUCACGGACAGUGGGUCCAAGGGUGACGUUCUCCUCCUUGGGCUCCCUGGUCUUCCUCCUCGACUGCAAACACAUACAACUAUAAGAUGACACUGGGACAAGUUAGCCUGGAUUGCUAUGUUGUCGUGCUAACAACCUCCAGAAACUAUUCCACAGUACAAGUUAGCCUGAAUUGAUAUGUUGUCCCUGUAAGAGCCUAAGAGCUUCAAAAGGAUAGUAAUAGUAAUUAAGCACGAUACAGAGAGCUACAAAUCAAGCCAACCACUUCAGGACCUCAAACAAGACUUGCAUUGCAUGAAAACUGAUAGUUGAUUUGCUCUAAUAAAAAGCUAAUAAAAAAUGUACUGCAUGAAAACUGAUAGAUGACAUUCAGCAGCAAACCAGCUCGGUCCACUAAUCAAGCCAACCAUUUCAGGACCUCAAACAAGACUUGCAUCACGAUGUAUAUGAAAUAAUUGAAAUUUUGCCACUUGAAACGUUGCCUCCUUGUUAUAAUUACCCAUGUGUCUAAGAAUUGUGGGCUUCAUCUAUGUCUAUCAAUUGUAGGGUCCAUCUGUGUCUAUGAAAUAUAGAAUCUGAUAUUUGCCAUCACCACAAAACGUGUUUGUAAAAUUGCCAUCAGACCCACACAUUUCAUAGACACAGAUGGACACACAAUUUAUAGACACAGUGGUAAUUAUAACAAGCAGGCAACGUUUUAAGUGGCAAAAUUCCAAUUAUUUCGUCUAUGAAAUGUGGGGUCUGGUGGUAGCAGAACGUGUUUUGUUGUAAUGGCAAAUAUCAGAUUCUCUCGGUGUAUAUAGCGAACAGUUAUCCUAACAAAACAUAUACUUUCCAGCUCCAUGUGCAAAUCAACCCAAGCCAAAGGGCGAAGGCCCACAUAACCAGCAUUUCUCACUCUUAGUUUGUAAUAGUAGAUUCUAAUCAUAUCUAUGCUUCCACCAAUUUAACAGCACAUCUCAAAUAUUUUGGCAGAUGAAAAAUGUUCAACAAGAACUCAUAAAUCGUGAUCAGAUUAGAAAAGAUGUUGUCACAGCAUCACUUCAAUCUUCAACUCCGGAGUAGGAGUAGGAGUAGCAGUCAACAAAUGUAACCAAGCACAGAUGUCAAAUUGCAAUUUAUCAGAUACAAUCCACCACGGGCAACCAGCCAAAACAACAGUAGCCCUAGUCAACAGCCAAACCUACGCUCUUAAACCAUCUAUAAACAAAAACAAUCGAAUCCAGCGCUACCGUGCUUGCAGCCGGAUCCGAAUCCACCGCUACCGUGCUUGCACCUACGUCCGCUUGCGAGCCAUAACCAUACGAGAAGAGGCUCGCUUACCAUGGUUGCGUGGAGCGACGGGUGACCGGAGCGGAGGCACGACUUGGGUUGAGAUCACAAGCACGCCGGCGCCGCCGAGACUUCCGUGGGGCGACGGAUGAGUGGUGCUGGUUUAUAUACGAGGCCGCAGCCCCUUAGGGUUUAUUAGACCAAGCCCAAAGAAAUUUCCUCUUUUGCCCUCUCUCUCUCUUCUGUCAAUGCGGCUGGGCCCAUCUCUUACACGAGGACUGUGCUAUUAAACAGCUAAGGGCAUGUACAGUGGUGUUUAAUGUGGGGGCUCUUAAGGUGUUUUAGGGGGUUAUUUGCAAAAAAAUCUUAGAGCCGUCUCUCCGUGAAGAGACGUCUCUGGCUCGUAAACCAAGUAACAACAGACGCCUCACUUCCCACUGUACGAAUUUGUCGUCUGUUCUAUCGAUCUGAUGCUAUACAAAUACAUUUAAUUCUGUAUUUAUUAACAGACUACGUUUAGAGACACUCCAUUGUACAAUAGAGUCUCUUAGUUGUCUCCUGUGCUUGGAGAACCGUUUUGGUGUCUCUCCACUGUACAUGCCCUAAUAGUCGGUUGUCCGUGCGUUGCGACGGCUCAUAACAAUACCCACGUAAACUAUCCACCAAGAUUUUUUAUUGAUUGUCUCUGCUUCCGCAUUUUUUUUGAUUUGACUAAGCGAGUCAACAUCGUGGUAAAGGAAAGACCAUCGAAUAGGUACCAUAGGUAGUAAAUCAGGGAACCUAUCCUCGCCUCUCCACUUCCAAGGUUUCGUAGAACAGGAAGGGAAGGGAAGGGAAGAGACAGUCAUACAUGUUCGUUGCGGAAGAAGGACACGACGAAGAUAUGGACAUCUGGAGGCGACAUAGGUAGUAUACCGCUAGAUACAUACAGGGGGAGCACACAAGCAGAGAAAGAAGCCCAAUCAGGGCAGCUCCAAACUGAGAGGCACCCGCACCAGGCGUCAGUCCGAAAAGGGCGAGAGAUUGCGAGUGCCUUCCAGCCCUAGACCCGCCGAGACGACACAACACCACCACCAACUCUUUAGCAUAUGUCGAUUGCUGCCGCGCUACAAGCUUUGGUUGUCCAAUAUCUCAGAUCUAGACUCGUCAUCGCCAAGAUAACCUAAGCGUGGCAGACACCAUUGUGUCCUCCUCGGCAACACGCACGAAAAAAAGCCAGGAGCAAGGCCGACUCGCCCGUACCCGCGUCGACGAGCAUCGGUCGGCUCGCGGCUGUGACCGUAGGCAGGGGCAGCAGGUUGGGGAGGAAGAAUAGGGCGAAGGCCGAGAAGACGAACUGGACAUCCGACGAUGGCAAAAACGAUGGUGCGUGCAUGCUGUGAAACACCCUCGUGGACGUGCAAUAGCCACUGCGCGGGUCGGUGUCGGGGCUGGUGUCGGACGAAUAUGGGGAGGAGGCGCCUGCUCCCACGCCCUCUGCCGAGAAUGUGUGGCGCGGAGGCGGAGGCAUGAGGGGAGAGAGAAAAUAAACAGGAUGACGAACGAGGUGGCGGCAACUGAGACGAGGACCAUCAUUAUCGUGUGAAGGUAUAGAUAGCCAAAUGGGUCGUGUCUGGCGAGCUGGUCUAGGGUACGGCCCAUUUAAUAGUGUCUGGGUCAGCCCGACACGAUCGUCGUGUCGUGUUUGGGACGUAGCCUCGGCCCGUAGUGCUGAUCCGACCCGACACGAUUAUAUUUUUAUUUAUUUUACAAAACUCGUAUAUAUGUACAAUUUAUAUUCAAUAUUAAAAACAAUUGACCAUGAUGUUCUACUGGUUAGAUGACUUCACUUAGUGUCUCCCGCCCUUCUUCCAUUAGGGCUUAGUGAAAGUCGCCUAGAGGGGGGUGAAUAGGGCGAAACUGAAAUUUACAAAGUUAAUCACAACUACAAGCCGGGUUAGCGUUAGAAAUAUAAUCAAGUCCGCGAGAGAGGGUGCAAAACAAAUCGCAAGCGAAUAAAGAGUAUGACACGUGGAUUUGUUUUACCGAGGUUCGGUUUUAGCAAACCUACUCCCCGUUGAGGUGGUCACAAAGACCGGGUCUCUUUCAACCCUUUCCCUCUCUCAAACGGUCCCUCGGACCGAGUGAGCUUUCUCUUCUCAAAUCAACCGGGAACAAAAGAACAAAACUUCCCCGCAAGGACCACCACACAACUGGUGUCUCUUGCCUUGGUUACAAGUGAGUAUUGAUCACAAGAAAGAAUGAGAAAGAAGAAAGCAAUCCAAGCGCAAGAGCUCAAAAGAACACGACAAAUCACUCUCACUUGACACUAAAGCUUUUGUGGAAUUGGGAGAGUAUUUGAUCACUUGGGUGUGUCUUGUAUUGAAUGCCUAGCUCUUGUAAGUGGUUGGAAGUUGGAAAACUUGGAUAACUUGAAUGUGGGGUGGUUGGGGGUAUUUAUAACCCCAACCACCAAACUAGCCGUUUGGUGAAGGCUGCUGUCGCAUGGCGCACCGGAUAGUCCGGUGCGCCACUCGCCAGCCACGUCACCAGGCUGUUGGGUUCCGACCGUUGGAGCUCUGACUGCUGGGCCUGCCUGGAUGUCCGGUGGCACACCGGACAUGCACUGUAGAGUGUCUGGUGCACCACUUCGCGCGUGCCUGACUUCUGCGCGCUCUGGUGCGCAUUAAAUAACUCUGCAGGUGACCGUUGGCGCGAAGUAGUCGUUGCUCCGCUGGCUCACCGGACAGUCCGGUGCACACCGGACACGUCCGGUGAAUUAUAGCGGAGCGAAUUCCCGAAGCUGGCGAGUUCCAGAGACGCUUCAUUCCUGGAGCACCGGACACUGUCCGGUGUACACCGGACAGUCCGGUGAAUUAUAGCGGAGCGCCUCCGGAUUUUCCCGAAGGUGAAGAGUUUGGCUUGAAGUCCCCUGGUGCACCGGACACUGUCCGGUGCGCCAGACCAGGGCUGCCUUCGGUUAACCCUUGCUCUCUUUAUUGAACCCAAUUCUUGGUCUUUUUAUUGGCUAAGUGUGAACCUUUGGCACCUGUAUAACUUAUACACUAGAGCAAACUAGUUAGUCCAAUUAUUUGUGUUGGGCAAUUCAACCACCAAAAUCAAUUAGGAAAUAGGUGUAAACCUAAUUCCCUUUCAAUCUCCCCCUUUUUGGUGAUUGAUGCCAACACAAACCAAAGCAAGUAUAGAAGUGCAUAAUUGAACUAGUUUGCAUAAUGUAAGUGCAAAGGUUACUUGGAAUUGAGCUAAUAAAACUACUCAUAAGAUAUGCAUGGAUUGUUUCUUCAUUUUUAUUAUUUUGGACCACGCUUGCACCACAUGUUUUGUUUUUGCAAAUUCUUUUGUAAAUCCUUUUCAAAGUUCUUUUGCAAAUAGUCAAAGGUAAAUGAAUAAGAUUUUGCGAAGCAUUUUCAAGAUUUGAAAUUUUCUCCCCCUGUUUCAAGUGCUUUUCCUUUGACUAAAACAAAAACUCCCUCUUGAUAAAUUCCUCCUCUUAGUGUUCAAGAGGGUUUUAAGAUAUUGAUUUUGAGAAUACCAUUCUCUCCCUCUUUUGAACACAAUGAGAUACCAAUUUGAAAAAUCAUAUCAAUUAAAAACUCUCUCUAAAAUUAGUACCAAUUGAAAACCAAAAAAAAUUUAAAUGGGUGGUGGUGCGGUCCUUUUGCUUUGGGCUAAUACUCUCUCCCCUUUGGCAUGAAUCGCCAAAAACGGAGUCAUUAGAGCCCUUUCUAUAACUAUUUUCUCCCCCUUUGGUAAAAGACAUAAGAGUGAAGAUUAUACCAAAGACGGAGUCCUUUUGUACUUAGGCUCUCUCCCCCAAAGAUGGAGAGUUGCCCGGAGCGACGGCGAAGGAUGAGUUACGGAGUGGAAGCCUUUGUCUUCGCCGAAGACUCCUAUUUCCUUUCAAUACACCUAUGACUUGGUUUGAAAUAGACUUGAAAACACAUUAGUCAUAGCAUAUGAAAGAGACAUGAUCAAAGGUAUAUGAAUGAGCUAUGUGUGCAAAUCAACAAAAGAAGUUCCUAGAAUCAAGAAUAUUUAGUUCAUGCCUAAGUUUGUUAAAAGUUUGUUCAUCUAGUGGCUUGGUAAAGAUAUUGGCUAAUUGAUCUUUAGUGUUAAUAUAUGAAAUCUCGAUAUCUCCCUUUUGUUGGUGAUCCCUUAAAAAGUGAUACCGAAUGGCUAUGUGUUUAGUGCGGCUAUGCUCAACGGGAUUAUCCACCAUGCGGAUUGCACUCUCAUUAUCACAUAGAAGAGGAACUUUGGUUAAUUUGUAACCAUAAUCCCUAAGGGUUUGCCUCAUCCAAAGUAGUUGCGCGCAACAAUGUCCUGCGGCAAUGUACUCGGCUUCGGCGGUAGAAAGAGCUACGGAAUUUUGCUUCUUUGAAGCCCAAGACACCAAGGAUCUUCCCAAGAACUGGCAAGUCCCCGAUGUGCUCUUUCUAUUAAUCUUACACCCUGCCCAAUCAGCAUCCGAAUAACCAAUCAAAUCGAAAGUGGAUCCCCUAGGAUACCAAAGCCCAAACUUAGGAGUAUAAACUAAAUAUCUCAAGAUUCGUUUUACGGCCGUAAGGUGAGCUUCCUUAGGGUCGGCUUGGAAUCUUGCACACAUGCAUACAGAAAGCAUGAUAUCUGGUCGAGAUGCACAUAAAUAGAGUAGAGAGCCAAUCAUCGACCGGUAUACCUUUUGAUCCACGGACUUACCUUCUGUGUCGAGGUCGAGAUGCCCAUUGGUUCCCAUGGGUGUCUUGAUGGGUUUGGCAUCCUUCAUCCCAAACUUGCUUAGAAUAUCUUGAGUAUACUUUGUUUGGCUUAGGAAGGUGCCCUCUUGGAGUUGCUUUACUUGAAAUCCUAAGAAAUACUUCAACUCCCCCAUCAUAGACAUCUCAAAUUUCUGUGUCAUAAUCCUACUAAAUUCUUCACAUGUAGACUCGUUAGUAGACCCAAAUAUAAUAUCAUCAACAUAAAUUUGGCAUACAAACAAGUCAUUUUCAAGAGUUUUAGUGAAUAAAGUAGGAUCGGCCUUUCCGACUUUGAAUCCAUUAGUGAUAAGGAAAUCUCUAAGACAUUCAUACCAUGCUCUUGGGGCUUGCUUGAGCCCAUAAAGCGCCUUAGAGAGUUUAUAAACAUGGUUAGGGUACUCACUAUCUUCAAAGCCGGGAGGUUGCUCAACAUAGACUUCUUCCUUGAUUGGUCCAUUGAGGAAGGCACUCUUCACGUCCAUUUGGUAAAGCUUGAAGCCAUGGUAAGUAGCAUAGGCCAAUAAUAUACGAAUUGACUCAAGCCUAGCUACGGGUGCAUAGGUUUCACCGAAAUCCAAACCUUCGACUUGGGAGUAUCCCUUGGCCACAAGUCGGGCUUUGUUCCUUGUCACCACACCAUGCUCAUCUUGCUUGUUGCGAAACACCCAUUUGGUUCCUACAACAUUUUGGUUAGGACGUGGAACUAAAUGCCAUACCUCAUUCCUCGUGAAAUUGUUGAGCUCUUCUUGCAUCGCCACCACCCAAUCCGAAUCUUGAAGUGCUUCCUCUACCCUGUGUGGCUCAAUAGAGGAAACAAAAGAGUAAUGCUCACAAAAAUGUGCAACACGAGAUCUAGUGGUUACCCCCUUAUGAAUGUUGCUGAGGAUGGUGUCGACGGGGUGAUCUCGUUGGAUUGCUUGGUGGACUCUUGGGUGUGGCGGCCUUGGUUCUUCAUCCUCCUUGUCUUGAUCAUUUGCAUCUCCCCCUUGAUCAUUGUCGUCAUCUUGAUGUGACUCAUUUGCUUGAUCUUCUCCUUCAUCAACUUGAGCCUCAUCCUCAUUUUGAGUUGGUGGAGAUGCUUGCGUGGAGGAGGAUGGUUGAUCUUGUGCAUUUGGAGGCUCUUCGGAUUCCUUAAGACACACAUCCCCAAUGGACAUGUUCCUUAGCGCGAUGCACGGAGCCUCUUCAUCACCUAUCUCAUCAAGAUCAACUUGCUCUACUUGAGAGCCGUUAGUCUCAUCAAACACAACGUCACAAGAAACUUCAACUUGUCCAGAGGACUUGUUAAAGACUCUAUAUGCCCUUGUGUUUGAAUCAUAUCCUAGUAAAAAGCCUUCUACAGUCUUAGGAGCAAAUUUAGAUUUUCUACCUCUUUUGACAAGAAUAAGGCAUUUGCUACCAAAGACUCUAAAAUAUGAAAUGUUGGGCUUUUUACUGGUUAGGAGUUCGUAUGAUGUCUUCUUGAGGAUUCGGUGUAGAUAUAACCGGUUGAUGGCGUAGCAAGCAGUGUUGACCGCCUCGGCCCAAAACCGAUCCGAAGUCUUGUACUCAUCAAGCAUGGUUCUUGCCAUAUCCAAUAGAGUUCGAUUCUUCCUCUCCACUACACCAUUUUGUUGUGGCGUGUAGGGAGAAGAGAACUCAUGCUUGAUGCCCUCCUCCUCAAGGAAGCCUUCAAUUUGUGAGUUCUUGAACUCCGUCCCGUUUUCGCUUCUAAUUUUCUUGAUCCUCAAGCCGAACUCAUUUUGAGCCCGUCUCAAGAAUCCCUUUAAGGUUUCUUGGGUAUGAGAUUUUUCCUGCAAAAAGAACACCCAAGUGAAGCGAGAAUAAUCAUCCACAAUAACUAGACAGUACUUACUCCCGCCGAUGCUUACAUAAGCUAUCGGGCCGAAUAGAUCCAUGUGUAGGAGCUCGAGUGGCCUGUCAGUAGUCAUGAUGUUCUUGUGUGGAUGAUGGGCACCAACUUGCUUCCCUGCUUGGCAUGCGCUACAAAUCUUGUCUUUCUCAAAAUGAACAUUUGUUAAUCCUAAAAUGUGUUCUCCCUUUAGAAGCUUAUGAAGAUUCUUCAUCCCAACAUGGGCUAGUCGGCGGUGCCAGAGCCAACCCAUGUUAGUCUUAGCAAUUAAGCAAGUGUCGAGUUCAGCUCUAUCAAAAUCUACCAAGUACAGCUGACCCUCCAACACUCCCUUAAAUGCUAUUGAAUCAUCACUUCUUCUAAAUACAGUGACACCUACAUCAAUGAAUAGACAGUUGUAGCCCAUUUGACAUAAUUGAGAAACGGAAAGUAAAUUGUAAUCUAAUGAAUCUACAAGAAAAACAUUGGAAAUAGAAUGGUCAGGAGAUAUAGCAAUUUUACCCAAUCCUUUGACCAAACCUUGAUUUCCAUCCCCGAAUGUGAUAGCUCGUUGGGGAUCUUGGUUUUUCUCAUAGGAAGAGAACAUCUUCUUCUCCCCUGUCAUGUGGUUUAUGCACCCGCUAUCGAUGAUCCAACUUGAGCCCCCGGAUGCAUAAACCUACAAAACAUGUUUAGUUCUUGACUUUAGGUACCCAAAUGGUUUUGGGUCCUUUGGCAUUAGACACAAGAACUUUGGGUACCCAAACACAAGUCUUUGAUCCCUUGUGCUUGCCCCCAAUAUACUUGGCAACUACCUUGCCGGAUUUGUUGGUUAAGACAUAAGAUGCAUCAAAGGUUUUAAAUGAAAUGUCAUGAUCAUUUGAUGCAUCAGGAGUUUUCUUCUUAGGCAACUUAGCACGGGUUGGUUGCCUUGAACUAGAUGUCUCACCCUUAUACAAAAAUGCAUGGUUAGGGCCAGAGUGAGACUUCCUAGAAUGAAUUCUCCUAAUUUUGCUCUCGGGAUAACCGGCAGGGUAUAAAAUGUAACCCUCGUUAUCCUGAGGCAUGGGAGCCUUGCCCUUAACAAAGUUGGACAAUUUCUUAGGAGGGGCAUUAAUUUUGACAUUGUCCCCCUUUUGGAAGUCAAUGCCAUCCUUAAUGCCAGGGCGUCUCCCACUAUAGAGCAUGCUUCUAGCAAAUUUAAAUUUUUCAUUUUCGAGUUCAUGCUCGGCAAUUUUAGCAUCUAAUUUUGCUAUAUGAUCAUUUUGUUGUUUAAUUAAAGCCAUGUGAUCAUGAAUAGCAUUACUAUCAACAUCUCUACAUCUAGUGCAAAUAGAAGUAUGUUCAACGGUAGAUGUAGAGGGUUUGCAAGAUUUUAAUUCUACAGCCUUAGCAUGCAAUAUGUCAUUUUUACUUCUAAGGUCGGAAAUGGUUGCAUUGCAAACAUCAAAAUCUUUAGCCUUAGCAAGCAAUUUUUCAUUUUCAUUUCUAAGGCUAGCAAGAGAAAUGUUCAAUUCUUCAAUCUUAGCAAGCAAAUCAUCAUUAUCAUUUCUAAGAUUGGGAAUUGAAACAUUACAAGCAAUGGAAUCAACCUUAGCUAACAAAUUAGCAUUCUCAUUUCUAAGGUUGUCUACAGUCUCAUGGCAAGUGCUUAGUUCACUAGAUAAUUUUUCACAUUUUUCAACUUCUAGAGCAUAAGAAUUUUUAACUUUAACAUGCCUUUUGUUUUCCUUGAUUAGGAAGUCCUCUUGGGAGUCCAAGAGAUCAUCCUUCUCAUGGAUGGCACUAAUUAAUUCAUUUAAUUUCUCUUUUUGUUGCAUGUUUAAGUUGGCAAAAAGAGUACGCAAAUUAUCUUCCUCAUCACUAGCAUUAUCAUCGCUAGAAGACUCAUAUCUAGUGGAGGAUUUGGAUUUAACCUUCUUCUUUUUGCCGUCCUUUGCCAUGAGGCACUUAUGGCCGACGUUGGGGAAGAGAAGUCCCUUGGUGACGGCGAUGUUGGCGGCGUCCUCGUCGUCGGAGGAGUCGCUAGAGCUUUCGUCGGAGUCCCACUCGCGACAAACAUGGGCAUCGCCGCCCUUCUUCUUGUAGUACCUCUUCUUCUCCUUUCUUCUCCCCUUCUUGUCGUCACCCCUGUCACUGUCACUAGAUAUAGGACAUUUUGUAAUAAAAUGACCAGGCUUACCACAUUUGUAGCAAACCUUCUUGGAGCGGGGCUUGUAAUCUUUCCUCCCUCCUUUGCUUGAGGAUUUGGCGGAAGCUUUUGAUGACAAGCGCCAUUUCCUCGUUGUCGAGCUUGGAGGCGUCGAUGGGUGUUCUACUUGGUGUAGACUCCUCCUUCUUCUCCUCCGUCGCCUUGAAUGCGACCGGUUGUGCUUCGGACGUGGAGGGACCGUCAAGCUCGUUGAUCUUUCGUGAGCCCUUGAUCAUAAACUCAAAGCUCACAAAAUUCCUGAUUACUUCCUCGGGAGUCAUUAGUGUGUAUCUAGGAUUGCCACGAAUUAAUUGAACUUGAGUAGGGUUAAGGAAAAUAAGUGAUCUUAAAAUAACCUUAACCACCUCGUGGUCAUCCCAUUUCUUGCUCCCGAGGUUGCGCACUUGAUUCACCAAGGUUUUGAGCCGGUUGUACAUAUCUUGAGGCUCCUCCCCUUGGCGAAGACGGAAGCCACCGAGCUCCCCCUCGAUCGUUUCCCGCUUGGUGAUCUUGGUUAGCUCAUCACCCUCGUGCACGGUCUUGAGCACGUCCCAAACUUCCUUGGCGCUCUUUAAUCCUUGCACCUUGUUGUACUCCUCCCUACUUAGAGAAGCGAGGAGUAUGGUUGUGGCUUGGGAGUUGAAGUGCUCGAUUUGGGCCACCUCGUCCUCAUCAUAAUCCUCAUCGCCGAUGGAUGGUACCUGUGCUCCAAACUCAACAACAUUCCAUAUACUUUUGUGGAGUGAGGUUAGAUGAAAUUUCAUUAAAUCACUCCACCUAGCAUAAUCUUCACCGUCAAAGGUUGGCGGUUUGCCUAAUGGAACGGAAAGCAAUGGAGUAUGUCUAGAGGUGCGAGGGUAAUGUAAGGGAAUCUUACUAAACUUCUUGCGCUCAUGGCGCUUAGAAGUUACGGAGGGCGUGUCGGAGCCGGAGGUGGAAGGUGAUGACGUAUCGGUCUCGUAGUAGACCACCUUCCUCAUCUUCUUUUUCUUGUCGCGACUCUGAUGCGACUUGUGGGAAGAGGCUUUCUUCUCCUUCCCUUUCCCCUUUUUGCGGGACUCUUCCGAUGAAGCCUUCCCGUGGCUUGUAGUGGGCUUUUCGCCGGUCUCCAUCUCCUUCUUGGCGUGUUCUCCCGACAUCACUUCGAGCGGUUAGGCUCUAAUGAAGCACCGGGCUCUGAUACCAAUUGAAAGUCGCCUAGAGGGGGUGAAUAGGGCGAAACUGAAAUUUACAAAGUUAAUCACAACUACAAGCCGGGUUAGCGUUAGAAAUAUAAUCAAGUCCGCGAGAGAGGGUGCAAAACAAAUCGCAAGCGAAUAAAGAGUAUGACACGUGGAUUUGUUUUACCGAGGUUCAGUUUUAGCAAACCUACUCCCCGUUGAGGUGGUCACAAAGAUCGGGUCUCUUUCAACCCUUUCCCUCUCUCAAACGGUCCCUCGGACCGAGUGAGCUUUCUCUUCUCAAAUCAACCGGGAACAAAACUUCCCCGCAAGGACCACCACACAAUUGGUGUCUCUUGCCUUGGUUACAAGUGAGUAUUGAUCACAAGAAAGAAUGAGAAAGAAGAAAGCAAUCCAAGCGCAAGAGCUCAAAAGAACACGACAAAUCACUCUCACUUGACACUAAAGCUUUUGUGGAAUUGGGAGAGUAUUUGAUCACUUGGGUGUGUCUUGUAUUGAAUGCCUAGCUCUUGUAAGUGGUUGGAAGUUGGAAAACUUGGAUAACUUGAAUGUGGGGUGGUUGGGGGUAUUUAUAACCCCAACCACCAAACUAGCCGUUUGGUGAAGGCUGCUGUCGCAUGGCGCACCGGAUAGUCCGGUGCGCCACUCGCCAGCCACGUCACCAGGCUGUUGGGUUCCGACCGUUGGAGCUCUGACUGCUAGGCCCGCCUGGAUGUCCGGUGGCACACUGGACAUGCACUGUAGAGUGUUCGGUGCACCACUUCGCGCGUGCCUGACUUCUGCGCGCUCUGGUGCGCAUUAAAUAACUCUGCAGGUGACCGUUGGCGCGAAGUAGCCGUUGCUCCGCUGGCUCACCGGACAGUCCGGUGCACACCGGACAUGUCCGGUGAAUUAUAGCGGAGCGAAUUCCCGAAGCUGGCGAGUUCCAGAGACGCUUCAUUCCUGGAGCACCGGACACUGUCCGGUGUACACCGGACAGUCCGGUGAAUUAUAGCGGAGCGCCUCCGGAUUUUCCCGAAGGUGAAGAGUUUGGCUUGAAGUCCCCUGGUGCACCGGACACUGUCCGGUGGCACACCGGACAGUCUGGUGCGCCAGACCAGGGCUGCCUUCGGUUAACCCUUGCUCUCUUUAUUGAACCCAAUUCUUGGUCUUUUUAUUGGCUAAGUGUGAACCUUUGGCACCUGUAUAACUUAUACACUAGAGCAAACUAGUUAGUCCAAUUAUUUGUGUUGGGCAAUUCAACCACCAAAAUCAAUUAGGAAAUAGGUGUAAGCCUAAUUCCCUUUCACUUAGGUUCAAACACCACCUCCUACCCCAUAUUUUUUUAAUAUUUUACGCUAAUUUUAACCACCCGACUGGUAACGGGCCGGACGUGAAAGUUGUGUGGAUGGAAGGAUGCAAGGUUAAUUUUAGAUGUGAGGGGUUGUUUGUAAAAAUAUGACGUAAGACGACCGUUAAAACUGGUGCUUUAAGUAUAGUAGAGAUAUGGUGUGGACAAAAAAUACAGCAAAUUUUAGUGUCGUCCUCUUCAUAGACUCACUCGACCAGUGCAAGUAGCCAGUAGAGGAACAUAAGGUCCGAAGCAGUCGUCGUCUCUCGUCUCUUCUCGGAAUCGCAUGUUGCGCACAGGGGUUGGAGGCGAGGACGCUUUUGUGAUCAUGUUCGGCCUCUCCUGCGUUGUUGUGACCCGAGGAUUUGUGGGUUGCUUCUUGCUUUUGAAUCUGACUCAUUUUUAUGAUCUUUUAAUUCAGGUGGGAAGAGGGGGUAGGGAAGAAGAGAAGAGGUGGUGGUGGGUGGAAGAAGUCGUAGAGAAUGAGCGAGGAGAGGUCGGUGUUGUGGCGAGAGAGUCGGUGGGGUAUGCCCGAAGGUGACACGCGACAGCCGAAGGCGCACCGCCGCAACUAGGACGGAUAUCACCGAAACCAUACAUACAUACGUACGUACAUACAUACAUACAUACAUACAUACAUACAUACAUACAUACAUACAUACAUACAUACAUACAUACAUACAUACAUACAUACAUACAUACAUACAUACAUACAUACAUACAUACAUACAUACAUACAUACACACACACACACACACACACACACACACACACACACACACACAUACAUACAUACAUACAUACAUACAUACAUACAUACAUACAUACAUACAUACAUACAUACAUACAUACAUACAUACAUACAUACAUACAUACAUACAUACAUACAUACAUACAUACAUACAUACAUACAUACAUACAUACAUACAUACAUACAUACAUACAUACAUACAUACAUACAUACAUACAUACAUACAUACAUACAUACAUACAUUUAUUUGGAUUUGGAUUCGAACGGAUAGCUUCGAAUACGAAUAAAAAUACAGAUGUUCUUGGAUACAAAUACAAAUAAUCGUGUGUCGAAUACAGAACUAGUCGAAUACGAAUAGAAUAACGUCGGUAAAGAAUAUUUUUGUCGAGUAUGGUGUUAGACACCAUUCCACACGUAUCAUAGUUCUUGUAAUAAUUUAGCCCCUCUUGAGUACAAACAUUAGAUGCAAUUAAAUUCAUAAAAUAGUUUAGGUGUUGACCGAAAAUUGUAAAUAAGUGAGUAUGUCACAUGGAUUUGUUUUUACCGAGGUUCGGUUUUAGCAAACCUACUCCCCGUUGAGGUGGUCACAAAGACCGGGUCUCUUUCAACCCUUUCCCUCUCUCAAACGGUCCCUCGGACCGAGUGAGCUUUCUCUUCUCAAAUCAACCGGGAACAAAACUUCCCCGCAAGGACCACCACACAAUUGGUGUCUCUUGCCUUGGUUACAAGUGAGUAUUGAUCACAAGAAAGAAUGAGAAAGAAGAAAGCAAUCCAAGCGCAAGAGCUCAAAAGAAUACGACAAAUCACUCUCACUUGACACUAAAGAUUUUGUGGAAUUGGUAGAGUAUUUGAUCACUUGGGUGUGUCUUGUAUUGAAUGCCUAGCUCUUGUAAGUGGUUGGAAGUUGGAAAACUUGGAUAACUUGAAUGUGGGGUGGUUGGGGGUAUUUAUAACCCCAACCACCAAACUAGCCGUUUGGUGAAGGCUGCUGUCGCAUGGCGCACCGGACAGUCCGGUGCGCCACCUGCCAGCCACGUCACCAGGCUGUUGGGUUCCGACCGUUGGACCUCUGACUGCUGGGCCCGCCUGGAUGUCCGGUGGCACACCGGACAUGCACUGUAGAGUGUCCGGUGCACCACUUCGCGCGUGCCUGACUUCUGCGCGCUCUGGUGCGCAUUAAAUAACUCUGCAGGUGACCGUUGGCGCGAAGUAGCUAUUGCUCCGCUGGCUCACCGGACAGUCCGGUGCACACCGGACAUGUCCGGUGAAUUAUAGCGGAGCGAAUUCCCGAAGCUGGCGAGUUCUAGAGACGCUUCAUUCCUGGAGCACCGGACACUGUCCGGUGUACACCGGACAGUCCGGUGAAUUAUAGCGGAGCGCCUCCGAAUUUUCCCGAAGGUGAAGAGUUUGGCUUGAAGUCCCCUGGUGCACCGGACACAGUCCGGUGGCACACCGGACAGUCCGGUGCGCCAGACUAGGGCUACCUUCGGUUAACCCUUGCUCUCUUUAUUGCCAAUUCUUGGUCUUUUUAUUGGCUAAGUGUGAACCUUUGGCACCUGUAUAACUUAUACACUAGAGCAAACUAGUUAGUCCAAUUAUUUGUGUUGGGCAAUUCAACCACCAAAAUCAAUUAGGAAAUAGGUGUAAGCCUAAUUCCCUUUCAAUCUCCCCCUUUUUGGUGAUUGAUGCCAACACAAACCAAAGCAAGUAUAGAAGUGCAUAAUUGAACUAGUUUGCAUAAUGUAAGUGCAAAGGUUACUUGGAAUUGAGCUAAUAAAACUACUCAUAAGAUAUGCAUGGAUUGUUUCUUCAUUUUUAUUAUUUUGGACCACGCUUGCACCACAUGUUUUGUUUUUGCAAAUUCUUUUGUAAAUCCUUUUCAAAGUUCUUUUGCAAAUAGUCAAAGGUAAAUGAAUUAGAUUUUGCGAAGCAUUUUCAAGAUUUGAAAUUUUCUCCCCUUGUUUCAAGUGCUUUUCCUUUGACUAAAAUAAACCCCCCCUUGAUAAAUUCCUCCUCUUAGUGUUCAAGAGGGUUUUAAGAUAUUGAUUUUGAGAAUACCAUUCUCUCCCUCUUUUGAACACAAUGAGAUACCAAUUUGAAAAAUCAUAUCAAUUAAAAACUCUCUCUAAAAUUAGUACCAAUUGAAAACCAAAAAAAAUUUAAAUGGGUGGUGGUGCGAUCCUUUUGCUUUGGGCUAAUUCUCUCUCCCCCUUUGGCAUGAAUCGCCAAAAACGGAGUCAUUAGAGCCCUUUCAAUAACUAUUUUCUCCCCCUUUGGUAAAAGACAUAAGAGUGAAGAUUAUACCAAAGACGGAGUCCUUUUGUACUUAGGCUCUCUCCCCCAAAGAUGGAGAGUUGCCCAGAGCGACGGCGAAGGAUGAGUUACGGAGUGGAAGCCUUUGUCUUCGCUGAAAACUCCUAUUUCCUUUCAAUACACCUAUGACUUGGUUUGAAAUAGACUUGAAAACACAUUAGUCAUAGCAUAUGAAAGAGACAUGAUCAAAGGUAUAUGAAUGAGCUAUGUGUGCAAAUCAACAAAAGAAGUUCCUAAAAUCAAGAAUAUUUAGUUCAUGCCUGUUGGGGACUUGUUCUCAAAUGCUAUGAAUUAAGAACAAGGCAACAUAAAAUGUUAAAUAUCAAAGUCCUUCGUCCGCUGAAACAUUAUUUCCUCAAGGAUUUAAUGAACUUCGAACGAAGGUUAUAAUGACACGAUUACGAAGAUUAUAUCUUCGUAAUUGAACUCUCAAAGAUAAUAUAAAACAACACGAGACAUAAAGCAUUAAAGAUAAGUAAAUUAGAAAUGAACAACAUCAUUUAUAUAUUAUGUAAACUUAAAAUAUUCAAAUAUAAUAUUUAGGUGCAUUUAUACCUCUGCCUUGGCAAAGAAUAAUUUCUGAGUGAUGCGAUUGCAAUUACAGGAAUCCGUGAACAGUAAAGGAAUACUGUUCACUAUUUAUAGGCACAGGACACAGCCUAUGAGCAAUUACAAUCAUACCCCUCAUAAAAGAUUACAACAACGACUCAAACUCUUACGGACUAAAAGGUCAUUCUAUCUUUAAGUCGGUUUGUAAUUCCGAAGCUUCAUGAACGGCACCCUUCGGCAUCACGUACAAACAGCUUCAGCCGAAGCUGUUUCUUCCUGCAGGACCUUCGGUGACGAAGCAUGGUCCCAACAGUAGCCCCUUCGUGGUGCUAGAUCGUUUUUCGUAACGAGCUUGAUCCGUGAAAAAAGUCUCUUAGGCUUCAGGAAGCCGAAGGUCCGAAAAACACCUUCCCUGAGCUCGUUGUCGAGAAACGAUACAGGUUCACUAUUUUGGUCUUUGCGGCCCACCGCGCAGCGGGUGCGAGCAGCUGUUUGCCUGGUGUAAAGAUCCUGACGAUUCACCUUCUUACCUGCAGCACUAUAUAAACAGACAGGUAGGUGUGAAGUUACCACAGCAUUCAUUGCUAUUGCACUGUUUUGCUGCCAAAAAUUUUAACCAUAACCGAAGCUUAACUCUCGCAUUCAGACGAAACUCCAGUUUGGUGCCUACUUCGUCAGAAAAAGCUUUGGGAAAAAAGGUUAUUUAAUUCCCAAGAAAUCUUUCAAGAAAUUCAAAAUUAAAUGGCCAGAGUGCGCUCUACUGCUAGAGUUGAGCGCGAGGGUGGCGAAGCCGAAGGAGCGGAGACUGUUCCUAUCUCCGAAGCAAUGCAGCGAUCCGGAUUGGUGACUUCGGAAAGAAUCCCUACUGCCGAGACAAAACAAGCUGCUGCCGAAGCGGAACAAGGAGAUAUUGAGGAAGCUGAUUCUGACGGUGAUUACCAUAUCGCAGUACCGAGCAAGCCUAGCCAUUUGGACUUCGGAAAAUCGACUAUCUCCAAGGCUGAUUUUUCCAAAAUGGUGAAGUCGGGCUAUUUCAGUGAAGAUGAGAAGAAGCUGAUUCGCUUCGAGGGAGAAGAAACUACCCCGAAGCUAGAAAAGGAUGAAAUAGUUAUUUUCAAGAGUUUUCUAAAAGCUGGGUUGAGAUUUCCUUUAAAUAAGAUGAUUUCUGAUGUGCUGCAAAAGUUUGGGAUCUAUUUUCACCAACUGACUCCUAACGCCAUUGUCAGACUUAGCGUUUAUAUCUGGCCUCUCUGAAGCCAGGCUGUGGAGCCGUUUGCCGACAGCUUCUGUCGAGUACAUGAGCUGCAUUACCAGACUAAGGCCAGGAAGGAUGGGUUGCAUGAAAAUUUUGGUUGUUAUAAUUUUGCCUAUCGGAAAACCACAAAAAUUCCUGUGAUUAGCUACCGAAGCAAAUGGCCGGCAGGCUGGAAGUCAGAAUGGUUUUAUGUCAAAGUUGACGAUGACAAAGAGAAGCUGGUUCAGAGCCCUCUUGAAUUGAUCUUCGGAGAAACCAGACCCCGAUGCAAUAUGGCAGCAGAAGGUCCAACUUGGACCGCACUGGCUGAAUUCAAAAUUAUUGCAGAACAUAUUGGCACUAGAGAUUUAGUGCAGGAGUUUCUGGCCUUCAGAGUAUUUCCAACUAUGAAGGAGUGGACUAUGCCGAAGCUUAAAGGAGAAAAGAAAGAGGGGGAGCUUGUCCGACUAGCCUAUUAUUAUAAGUUUAAGAAAUAUUUUAAAGCACCCUGCCAAGAAUGGCUCGAUACAAUCGAAGUAAUGAGUAAUGAAAUUCUUGGAAAUUACUCCAAAAAAGAAGACCAGCUGAUGACAGCAGCCUUCGGCACUCGGCCGAAGCGAAGGCUGAACAGGGUGCUUGAUGCUAUAGGAUUUGAAUAUGCUGAUUAUGGUCGACUGAGCGGAGAUGCUGGAGGCCCGAAGCGAAAAAGAAUUGCCAGCGUUGCUGACGAAGAGGUUGCCAAGGUAGUUAAAAAGAAAAGGGGAGAUUCUGAAAAACUUAGCCCUGAAGAGUUGAACCCUGAGCCGAAGGUGGCCACUGCAAGAAAGAGGAAAACUGCAUCUCCAGAACCAAAAACGUUGGUUCAAGAAGAAGAUACUCCUGCAACGCCUUCUGCUGUUGAAGUAGAAGAGAUUAUGAAGGUAAUGACUGAACCCUUGCCUGUCAAGCUAAGUCCGCUGGCGCGGGAACUGACGAAGUUUUUUCAGAAGGACAAGGCAGCUUCGGCAGAAGAAGGUCCUGCACUGCCGAAAAAAUGAAGGAUUAUUCAAAUAGCAGAUGUAAUUCAUGGGACACCGUCACCGACACCAGCAUCAAGAAUUGCUAUUGACCAGACUGUCGAAACCGCCGAAGCUAAAGGCGCCGCAACCGAAGCCACCAGAGCGGAAACCUUCGAAGCUGAAACUGGCGCAGCCGAAGCUGCUGGGGUUGAAACCGGGGCCACAGAAGAUCCGAACCUGGAAGAGACACUUGAAGUUAUUGAUAACAUACUCCUAAAAAUGACUGAGGAAGAAUCUGUUGUGGCCGCGGCGAGCACAGCUACUGAAAAGGGAAAAAAACAAGCUGAAGACAUUUUGGAGGAAGAAGAUUUUGAAUUUCAAGAUUUACUUGGGCAAGAACUGACAGACGUUGAAAAAGCGGAGCUUAAAAAAUGUGCCAUAGCCUGCGGAUAUAAGCCAGAGGCUACACUGUUCGGUGGGGUUAACGAAGGAAAGCUGAGGUGCCUUCGAAACCGCAGCGAAGCUAAAAUUGUUAGAACUCUCUGCAAAAACAUUGGCUUGCCGAAGCUGUAAGCGGACCUCUGCCGUUACCAACGGCACCAUAUCGCCGGAAGCUUGCUUUAUGCUAACUUCAAGGUAACAAAUAUUUUUGUUAUUUUAUUAUUAUUAUUAUUAUUAUUAUUAUUAUUAUUAUUAUUAUUAUUAUCUUUUAGGCCGUUUUCUAACGAAGAUCAUUUUGACAGAGCAUAUUAUUAAGUAAGGUUCUAAAAAUGCAACAAGAUCUCGAAGAAGAGAAGAACAAAGCCGUCAUCCAAAAUUUGGCUGAAAAAGUUGAAAAUUACGAAGCUGAUCUGAAAAAGAAGGAUUUCACCAUCCAAGAUCUUGAAAUGAUGGUCAAAGAGCACGAAGGUGCAUUAGAAAAGAAAGAUUUUGUUAUUCAGACUAUGGAGGGUUCUUUGGCUGAAGUCCAAACUGAGAAUAACAGCUUGAAGAAUGAAUUGCUCCAACAGUCAGAAAAAUUUGAGCAAGAAAAGAAAUAUCUUGAAGCAAGCCUGAAAACUGAGGUGGAUAAAAAUUUAAAUUUGCAGAAAUCCUUUAAAGAACUUCAAGAGAAAUGCCUAAGCUUCGGCAGCCGAUGCGUCCAACGGCUGAAGGAUGUGUUUCAUUCUGUCGGAGCCAGCUCUGCAAAAUUUACACCUUCGGCUGAAAAUCUGCCCAGCACGCUAGAAUAUAUUGAAGGCGAGGUUGAUGCCCUUGACGAAGUUAUUGGUGGGCAUGCCGACUCCUGCGCCCUGGUAGCUUCUCGGGGCACAGCCACCGCUUUUCUGAAGGCUGGCUGCACACAUGGAAAUAUUGUGAACAGACCAAACUUCAGCUUGUCAGCAUCAGAUCUGAUAGAUAUCCCAAGCCUAGCCCGAAGCAUUGGAAAUAUAUUCAUGACCCAGAUCUGGGUAAGUGGCGGGCGAAAAAUGGCGGGUGACGAAGCUCGAAGUCAUCUUAACCCGGUAAGAAACUUAUGUUUGUUACUUUUACCUUCUCCUUGAAAUUUGCACCUUUCUUAUUCUGCUGUUUGAUAUACGCAGGAUGACGAAGCUGAAGAAUGACGAAGCUGAAGUUUGACGAAGUCUAGCCUGAAGCUUGAUAAUUGUUUACAAUAUACUUUCCUAUAAAAAUUCUGGAGAAACUUUUGUGAUAUAGUUAUGGAACAAGUCCCCAACAUUGGCGCCCACCUCCGGUGAACUCAUUUCCACUUUCCUGAGACAAUGGCUUCGUUCAAGAACCAAGCUGGAGCUGCUUCGGCUCCGAAGCUGAUUCUCCCGAUAACAGGCGGUUCAUGCUCAGAGCCGGCUAACAAGAAACAGAAGAAGGAGGCACAGAGAAGAGUACAGCAUGUUGGAGUGCAGGGACCCUUCAUCAAGUCAAGAUGGUCCCACAUUCCAAUCACCUUCUCCCAAGAGGAUCUUCAGCUCAAGGAUUUUCCUCAUAACGAUGCUAUGGUUAUUUCUUGCGUUAUCAAAGGGUUUCUGGUCCACAAUGUCUUGGUUGAUACAGGCAGUGCAGCUGAUAUUAUAUUUGCUAAGGCCUUCAGACAAAUGCAAGAGCCAGAAGAUAAGAUUCAUGAUGCUACGCACCCUCUCUGUGGCUUCGGAGGAAGACAGAUUGUAGCACUGGGCAAAAUCACCAUGCCAGUGACCUUCGGGUUCAUCAACAACACCAGAACUGAACAAGUUGUGUUUGACAUUGUUGACAUGGAAUACCCUUACAAUGCAAUUAUUGGUCGUGGCACCCUCAAUGCUUUUGAAGCAAUUCUUCAUCCUGCUUACCUUUGCAUGAAGAUACCUUCGGAUCAAGGACCCAUUGCUAUUCAUGGAAGUCAGGAAGCUGCCAGAAGGGUCGAGGGAAACUGGACUGACUCAAAAGCAAUCCAUAAUAUAGAUGGAGCUGAAGCCUGUGAACAGUACAAAUUCAGAAGGGAGAAAGCAGCUUCGGCAGAUCAGCUGAAGCCCAUGCUCUUAUGUGAGGACAUAGCAGAGCAGAAGGUGCUGUUGGGCUCCCAAUUAUCCGAAGAACAGGAGAAAACCUUGAUAAGGUUUUUGUUCAACAACAAAGAUGUUUUUGCAUGGUCAGCCAAUGAUCUUUGCGGAGUUAACAGGGAUGUUAUUGAACACUCGCUCAAUGUUGACCCAUCCUUUAGACCCAGAAAGCAGAGGCUUCGGAAAAUGUCUGAAGACAAGGCCGAAGGAGCUCGGAACGAAGUCAAAAGACUCCUCAGUGCAGGAGUUAUCAGAGAAGUAAAGUACCCAGAAUGGCUAGCUAACACUGUUAUGGUAAAAAAGGCCAAUGGCAAAUGGCGGAUGUGUAUCGACUUUACGGAUCUCAACAAGGCCUGUCCGAAGGACGAAUUCCCAUUGCCAAGGAUAGACUCCUUAGUUGAUGCAGCAGCUUCGUCAGAGCUUAUGAGUCUUCUAGAUUGUUAUUCAGGCUAUCAUCAAAUUUGGAUGAAGAAGGAGGAUGAGCCGAAGACCAGUUUCAUAACUCCCAGUGGAACAUAUUGUUACCUUCGGAUGCCCGAGGGGCUCAAGAACGCUAGAGGAAGUUUCAGCCGAAUGACUGUGAAGGUUCUUCAGUCUCAGAUAGGCAGAAAUGUGCUAACUUAUGUUGAUGAUAUCAUUGUAAAAAGCACGAAACAAGAAAAUCACAUUGCUGAUUUGCAGGAGACCUUCGCCAGUUUUAAACAAGCUGGUCUGAAGCUGAAUCCAGAAAAAUGUGUCUUUGGAGUAAAGAAGGGGAAAUUUCUUGGAUGUUUGGUUUCAACAAAGGGAAUUGAAGCUAAUCCAAGUAAAAUUGAAGCUAUACUUCGAAUGGAGCCACCAAAUACAAAAAAGGGGGCCCAAAGACUGACGGGGAGGCUGGCAUCUCUCAAUAGAUUCAUAUCCACAUCAGCAGAGAGAAAUUUACCAUUCUUCGAAGUGCUGAAAUCAGCCGAAGUCUUUCAAUGGGGACCAAGCCAACAAAAAGCCUUCGAGGAACUGAAGCAAUAUUUGAUAGAUUUAACAGCAUUAACUCCACCAACACCAGGGGCUCCUUUGUUAUUAUAUGUGGCAGCUUCGCACUCAGCGGUAAGUGUAGCACUUGUCCAGGAGAAGCUUGAUGGCCAAGUCAAGAAGCAGGUCCCAGUAUAUUUUGUAUCUGAGGUUCUUAGUUUAUCGAAGAAAAACUAUACAGAAUUGGAGAAGGUGUUAUAUGCUGUUUUGAUGGCAUCCAGGAAGCUUCGGCAUUACUUUCAAGCAUACAAUAUUGUUGUUCCUUCUUCGCAACCGUUGAAGGAUAUUAUGAGAAAUAGAGAAGCUACUGGACGGAUUGGAAAAUGGGCUACAGAGCUCAAUGAAUUUUGCAUAGAUUAUGUGCAUAGAUCUUCGAUCCAGUCUCAAGCGUUGGCAGAUUUCAUUGCUGACUGGACGCCAGGGGCUCAGGAUGAAGAAACAAAUAAAGAUGCCGAAGUAUGGACAGUGUUUUGCGAUGGGUCUUGGGGAACCUUCGGAGCAGGAGCAGCCGCUGUGUUGGUCUCACCAUCCAAAGUUAAAACUUGUUAUGCGGCAAGACUCGAUUUUAGUUGUACAAACAAUAUUACUGAGUACGAAGCCCUGCUUUUGGGCCUUCGGAAGUUAAAAGCAAUGGGAAUCAGAAGGGCCAUUCUUAAAACUGAUUCCCAGGUUGUUUCGGGUCAUAUCGACAAGAGUUGUAAGGCUAAAGAUCCGAAGCUUGAAAAGUAUCUAGACACGGUCCGAAGGAUUGAAGCUUCCUUCAAAGGAUUUUCUGUCAAAAAUAUCUCUCGAGGACAAAAUGAGCAUGCUGAUUUGCUAGCUAAGUCAGCAGCACAGGGGCUGCCCUUACCUUCGGAUGUGUUCUUCGAAACAAUAAAAGCACCUUCAGUGGAACUUCUUGAAAGAGCAGUCCUCAAUAUAUCUCCUGUUUAUAGUGAAGACUGGAGAACUGAGAUCAUCUCUUAUCUUCAGGGUAACUUCCUUUCAGAUGACGAAACUUAUAACAGGAGGAUAGAGGCAAGAGCUCGUCCAUAUGUCAUGAUAGAAGGGGAGUUGUACAAGCAUGGAGUUUGUGCUCCAUUACUCAAGUGUUUAUCUAGAGCCGAAGGCAUAGAAUUGAUGAAAGAAAUACAUGCAGGCCUGUGUGGAUCUCACAUUGGGUCUAGGUCGUUACUUGGAAAAGUUUUCCGUCAAGGGUUUUAUUGGCCGAAGGCAGCUUCGGAUGCAGCGGAAUUAGUUCAAAAGUGCGAAGGUUGUCAGAAAUGUGCAGGAGAUCAAAAACAACCUUCGUCUCUAACUCAACUGAUACAACCCAUCUGGCCGUUGCAAAGGUGGGGCCUUGACUUGUUAGGUCUGUUACCACCGGCCUAAGGAAACUUAAGAUAUGUUGUAGUGGCUGUGGAAUAUUUUUCUAAAUGGAUUGAGGCAAAGCCUUUAGCCACAAUAACUUCGGCCACCAUUCAAAAGUUUUUCUGGCAGAAUAUUGUUUGUCGUUUCGGAGUACCAAAGGCCAUCACUGUAGAUAAUGGAACACAAUUUGACUCCGAAGCUUUCAGAGAAUUCUGUGAUCAAAUUGGCACGAAGAUCCAUUUUGCAUCAGUCAGGCAUCCGGAGUCAAAUGGACUUGUUGAAAGAGCCAAUGGCAUCAUAAUGACAGGAAUAAUGAAGUUAAUCUUCAAUCAACCCAGGGAAAAGUGGCCAGAUCAAUUAAUCAAAGUGGUAUGGAGCCACAACACAACAACAUCAAGGUCAACAGGCUUUACUCCAUUCAAAUUAUUGUUUGGUGACAAAGCAAUAACUCCAGAGGAAGCUAAAACUGGAUCAAUAAGAGUAGUAGCUUCGGCAGAAUCAGAUUCUGAAGCUGAUCAUUCUGUGGAAAAAGAUGCUAUAGAAGGGAUCAGGCUUCAAGCUGUGGAGAACAUCAAUAAAUAUCAAGCCGAAACAAUCAAAUGGCGUGAUAGAAAGGUUCGGCUAAAGAAUAUUGAGCCAGGACAUUUGGUGCUUCGGAGAGUGGCUAACCCAGAUACAGUGGGCAAGUUGCAGUUGAAAUGGGAGGGACCUUUUUUGGUAGUAUCUUCGUCAAGACCCGGUUCAUACAGAUUGAAGGAUAUGGACGGCAACGACAUUCCUAGAUCUUGGAAUGCGGAUGAGCUUCAGCGAUAUUAUGUAUAACUCGAUGUAAUUUUUUAUAUUUUUUAUUUUUCUUUCAUGGCACCCUUUUCCUUUCUAAAGGGGGAGAAAGGUUUUUAAUGGGGCCAUCACAUGUAAUUUCCUUUUUUAGCUCUAUAAGAGCAAAAUCCCCCAAAGAUGUAAAUGUAAAAACUGAGAACGCACCAUCGAGUGCCGAAAAGAAACAGGGAAGAAGCUCGAAAGCCGUCCCUAAGGGGAUGCGGAGCACGACGAAGCUACUAAAAAAGUCGCUCCAAAGGGAGCGCAGUGUAAGUUUUCUGCUCAAAAGUCGUUCCAAAGGGAAUGCGGAGCUUACAGCGAAAAGUCAACGCUGAUACCGCCGAAAGUAAAAGGCGAAGAAGCUCCUAAGGGAGGCUUACAGCGAAAAGUCAACGCUGAUACCGCCGAAAGUAAAAGGCGAAGAAGCUCCUAAGGGAGGCUUACAGCGAAAAGUCAGCGCUGAUAUCUAAUUGUUUCUAAGGAAAUAACGGUUGUGAUUAUGGCUUCGGAUAUGUGUUUGGACAUUCAUUUGCACACCACAUUACAUCAUAACAUUUGCAUUCAUAAACAUUCAUCCAGGCAUAUGUAGGAUAACCAUCGUCAUAGCAUAAGUGGUUGCUUCGGCAAAAAGGAAAAAAACUGUCUUUUGUACUUCGUUGUGUACGAAAAGAGGAGCUUCGGCAAAAAGAAAAGGCUAUUUUUUAUGCUUCGCUGUGUACGAAAAGAAGGGAAGGUGUUUUUUCGCCUUCGUCUCAAAAAGAUAAUUCCGUCCACAUCAAAGCACCUCAUACAUUAAUGGAAGGGUAAGAGCAUAUUACAAGGUAUGAACAAAGUUCAUUAAGAACUGUUUAGCCAUAUUUACAAAAGUUAUUUCAAAAGUUUCUUGAGUUUUUCUAUAGACUACUCCUACUGAUCUUCAUGGGGCCUCAGAUUUGGCGUCGUACUCUAAGCAUCGGUCUCGGCUUCGUCAUCCUACAUGAAUUAAGUUGUUGAGAGUCAAAACCAAGUUUGAAGGAAAAGGUAAGCACAAGGUAUGAUUUCUUACUGGUUCAAGAUGACUCCGAGCUUCGUCUCCAGCCUUUUCUCGCCCGCCUUUUGUCCAUAUCAUCUUUACAAAUCUAUUAGAAAUGCUUCGGGCGAGGUCAGGAAUAUCAUCUAAAAUUGAUGGUGAUAGAGUGAAAUUGGGCCUAUUAACAAUUUUUCCAUGGUCGCAGCCAGCUUUCAGAAAAGCUGCAGCAGUGCCCCGAGAAGCUACCCAGGCACAGAAGUCACCGUGCCCGGCUAUAACUUCGUCAAGCUCAUCAAUUUCACCCUCAAUAUGUUCGAAGGUUUUUGGUAAAUCUUCAGUUGAUGGGGUGAAUUUCCCACUGCUAGCCCCGACUGAGUGGAAGAUUUUUCUCAGUCAUUGAAUACAUUUAUUGCUAAACUCCAAACAUUUGUCUUGAAGGUUUGCCAAUAAUUUUUUCAAAUCUGAAUUUUGUUGGACUUCGGCUUCAAGUUUCGCAUUAAGGUCUUGCUUUUCUUGUUCAAACUGUUCAGAUUGGCAGAGAAGCUUCGUAUUCAAUUCUGCUAUUUUAGCUUCGGCUUCUGCCAAUAAGCCUUCAGUUGUCUGAAGCUCGAAGUUUUUCUUUUCAAUAGUAGCUGAUUGCUCUUUUAAUUUGCUCUCUAAAUUUUCAAUUAUAACCUCGUGUUUUUUGUCUUCCAGAUCCUGCUGCAUUUUCAAAGCUUUACUCAACAGCAUACUCUGCACAUAAACAACCUUCGUUAGAAAUGUCUUCGUUAUUAAAAACAAUAAAAGUCAAGGAAAAAAUAGUUCACCUUGAAAUUGGAAUAAAAUAAACUACCAACGAUAUGUUGUCGUCGGUAGCGGCUAAUAUCCGUUUCUAGCUUCGGAAAACCGAUACUCUUUGAUAGAGUACCGAUAAUCUUAGCUCCAGUUUGAUCCCGGAUACAGUCUAAUUUUUCAUCGUCAAUACCCCCGAAGAGGAGUGCUCCUGGUUUAUAUCCGCAAGAUUUGGCAUAUUCUUUAAGCUCUUCUAUUUCGGUUUUUGACAGAUCUUGUCCAACUAAAUUUUGAAACAUGAAGGCUUCGUCCUCUGAAGUUUCGUAAGAGAUUUCCAUUUCUUUCCCAGACACUGCGGCCAUGGUCUCCUCGGCGGCAGUCGUAGCUUCUUCUGUGGCCAUGUUUAGCAGUAUUUUGUCGAUAUGUUCGAUUGUGGUUUCCAAGUUCAAAUCUUCGGUUGAGGUAGCUUCGGUAGCCGCGAUCUCCGAAGGUGCGACUUCAAUAUUUGUUAUUUCCUCAGCCGCUGGUAUCUUCCGAGCUGAGGCUCUCGGUGGUGUCUUGUCAAUGACUUCUGUCACUGCGAUGAUUCUUUGUCUCUUUGUUUUAGUUGUUUCCUUCGUUUUUCCGGGCUCCUUUUCCUUCUGAAAAAACUUCGUCAGUUGAGGCCCUAAUGGACUUAGCUUCACAGGCAGGGAUUCAGUCAUUACCUUCAAAAUCUCUUCCACGUCAGUGGUAGAGCGUGAUGCGGGAGUCUCUUCUUCAUCGGAUACUUUUCGCUUCGGAGAUGAUACUUUUCUCUUCUUCGGAAUUUUCUUCUCUUUUGGUGGUUCUUUCUCAUCUUCAUUUAAAGCUUCGGCUACCCUUUUCCUUUUCCGUCCUUCGACACCUUUAUUCAGUUGUUCGUAAUCAGGGUAUUCAAAACCCAAGGCGUCCAGCACUCGAUUCAGUCUUCGCUUCGGACGGGUACCAAAGGCCGCAGUCAUCAACUGAUCUUCUUUUUUGGAGUAAUUACCGAGUAUUUCAUUGCACAUUAUUUCAAUUGUGUCCAGCCACUCUUGGCAAGGUGUUUUAAAGUAUUUCUUAAACUUGUAAUAGUAAGGUAACCGCACAAGUUCCCCUUCUUUCUUCUCCCCCUCUAGCUUCGGCAUUUCCCAUUCUUUUAAAGUAGGAAAAACCCUGAAGGCCAGGAACUCUUGAACCAGGUCUCUUGUGCCAAUAUGCUCUGAAAUAAUUUUAAACUCAGCCAGUGCAGCCCAAGUGGGACCUUCUAAUGACAUUUGGCAUCGCGGUCUUGUUUCUCCGAAGAUCAAUUCAAGAGGGCUUUGUACCAGCUUCUCUUUGUCUUCGUCAACUUUCACAUAAAACCAUUCCGACUUCCAGCCUGCCGGCCAUUUGCUUCGGUAGCUGAUUACAGGAAAUUUUGUGGUUUUCCGAUAAGCAAAAUUAUAGCAACCAAAGUUAUCAUGCAAUCCAUCUUUUCUAGCCUUCGUCUGGUAGUGCAGCUCAUGAACUCGACAAAAGCUGUCGGCAAACGGCUCCAUCGCUUAGCUUCGGAGGGCCCAGAUAUAAACACUAAGCCUAACGAUAGCGUUAGGAGUCAGCUGAUGAAAGUAGAUCCCAAACUUCUUCAAUACAUCUGCAAUAAUCCCAUGGAGGGGGAAUCUCAACCCAGCCUUUAGAAAGCUCUUGAAAAUGACUAUUUCAUCCUUCUCCGGCUUCGGUGUAGUUUCUUCCCCCCUGAAGCGAAGUAGCUUCUUCUGACUCUCACUGAAAUAACCCGACUUCACCAUCUUGGAGAGAUCAGCCUUAGAGACAGUCGACUUUCCGAAGUCCAAGUGGCUGGGCUUACUGGGCAUGGCAAUAUGAUAAUCAUCUUCGGAAUCAGUUUCCUCAAUGUCUCCUUCUUCCGCUUCGGCAGUUGCCUGUUCUGUUUCAGGAGUGGGGAUUUCUUCCGAGAUUACCAGUCCGGAUCGUUGCAUCGCUUCGGAGAUGGGAACAGUCUCCGAUCCUUCAGCUUCGCCUCCCUCACGCUCAACCCUAGCGGUAGAGCGCACUCUAGCCAUUUAAUUCUGGAUUUUUUUGGGAAUUAAAUACUUUUCUUCCGAAGUUUUUCUUCUUCUGAUGAAGUAGGCUUCAAGCUGGAGCUUCGUUUGGUUUCGAGAGUCAAGCUUCGGCUAUGGUUAAAAAUUUUGGCAGCAAAACAGUGCAAAUAACAAUGAAUGCUGUGGUAACUUCACACCUACCCGUCUGUUUAUAUAGUGAUGCAGGUAAGAAGGUGAAUCACCAGGAUUUUUACACCAGGCGAACAGCUGCUUGCACCCGCUGCGCGGUGGACCACAGAGACCAAAUAGUAACUCUGCAAGGUGGGACCGCUACGCGCUCGGAAACUGAAUCGUUUCUCGACAACGAGCUCAGGGAAGGUGUUUUUUGGACCUUCGGCUUCCCGAAGCCUAAGAUACUUUUUUCACGGAUCAAGCUCGUUACGAAAAACGAUCUAGCACCGCGAAGGGGCUACUGUUGGGACUAUGCUUCAUCGCCGAAGGUCUGGUAGGAAGAAACAGCUUCGGCUGAAGCUGUCCGCAUGUGAUGACCGAAGGUUCCUCUUCAUGAAGCUUCGGAAUUACAAACCGACAUAAAAGUAGAAUGACCUUUUAGUCCAUAAAUGUUUGAGUCGCUGUUGUAAUCCCUUUUGAGGGGCGUAAUUGUAAUUCCUCACAGGCUGUGUCCCGUGUCUAUAAAUAGUGAACAAUAUUCCUUUACUGUUCACGGAUUCCUGUAAUAGUAAUCGCACCAUUCGGGAAUCAAUCUUUUGCCAAGGCAAAGGUAUAAUUGUACCCAAUGUUUGAAUGUGUUAAAUUGAUAUAAUAUGAAAGUAAUGUUGUUCGUUUAUAAUUUAUUCACUUUUGACGCUUCGUAUUUUAUAUUACUUUAAGAUUCAAUUACGAAGACUUAACCUUCGUAAUUCAUAUUGUCUUUAACCUUCGUCCAUGGCUCAUUAAUCCUUAAGGGAAUAAUGCUUCGUUGGACGAAGGACAUUAACAUUUAACAUUUUUUGUGUUGCCUUGUUCUUAAUUCAUAGCAUUUGAGAACAAGUCCCCAACAACAACUUAUGUAAAUUUGUACAUACCUUGUAAUAUAUUUUGUUUCUGCUAUCUGUGUACAAUCUGCUUUGCUGUGGACGAAACUUCUCUUUUGAGCUGAAGGCGAAAAACACCUUCCCUUCUUUUCGUACACAACGAAGCAUAAAAAUUUUCCUUCGAGUUUUUCCUCAUUGUCGAAGCAUCUGUGUUUUUUGUGUGGUAUAAUGAUGAUUCUAUAUAUGUCUAAAUGCAUGUUUAUGAAUGCAAAUGACAUGAUGAGAUGUAUUGUGCAAAUGAAUAUCAGAACACAUAUUCAAAAAACCAUAAUCAUAGCCUUUCAGCGUUGACUUUUCGCUGCAAGCCUCCCUUAGGAGCUUCUUCGCCUUUUACUUUCAGCGGAAUCAGCGCUUAUUUUUCGCUGUAAGCCUCCCUUAGGAGCUUCUUCGCCUUUUACUUUCGGCGGAAUCAACGCUUAUUUUUCGCUGUAAGCCUCCCUUAGGAGCUUCUUCGCCUUUUACUUUUGGCGGAAUCAGCGCUUAUUUUUCGAUGUAAGCUCUGCAUUCCCUUAGGAACGACUUUUGAGCUUCUCCCUGUUUCUUUUUCUUUUUUACUUUGCAUUUACAUUUACAUUUUUUGGGGGAUAUCACUCUCAUAGAAUUGAAAUAAGGAAAAUUACAUAUUGUGGCCCCAUUAAAAACCUUUCUCCCCCUUUGGGAAGGAAAAGGGUGCCGCAAAAAAGAAUAUAAAAAAUUACAUCAAGCUAAACAUAGUAUCGCCGAAGCUCAUCCGCAUUCCAUGAUCUAGGAAUGUCGUUGUCGUCCAUAUCCUUCAAUCUGUAGGAGCCGGGUUUUGACGAAGAUACUACCAAAAAGGGGCCUUCCCACUUCAGCUGUAAUUUGCCUACUGUCUCAGGGUUGGCUACUCUUCGAAGUACCAAGUGUCCUGGUUCAAUGUUCUUCAGCUUGACCUUUCUGUCACGCCAUUUUAUUGUUUCAGCUUGGUAUUUAUUGAUGUUUUCCACAGCUUGAAGUCUGAUCGCUUCAAUAGCAUCUUUUUCUAUAGAGCAAUCAGCUUCGUUUUCGCCUUCUGCCGAAGCUACUGUUCUUAUUGAUCCUGCUUUGGCCUCUUCUGGGGUUAUUGCUUCAUCACCGAACAAUAAUUUGAAGGGCGUAAAGCCUGUUGGCCUUGACAUGGUUGUAUUAUGGCUCCACACCACUUUGAUUAACUCGUUUGGCCACUUUCCCCUGGGCUGAUUGAAGAUUGACUUCAUUAUUCCUGUCAUUAUGAUCCCAUUAGCUCUUUCGACAAGUCCAUUUGACUCUGGGUGUCAGACUGACGCAAAAUGGAUCUUCGUGCCAAUUUGUUCACAAAAUUCUCUGAAGGCUUCAGAAUCAAACUGUGUCCCAUUGUCCACAGUAAUAGCCUUCGGCACUCCGAAGCGACAAACAAUGUUUUGCCAGAAAAACUUUUGAAUAGUAAAUGAAGUUAUUGUGGCUAAGGGCUUUGCCUCAAUCCACUUGGAAAAAUAUUCCACUGCCACUACUACAUAUCUUAGGUUCCCCUGUGCUGGUGGUAAUGGGCCUAGUAAAUCGAGGCCCCACCUUUGCAACGGCCAAGUGGGUUGUAUUAAUUGAGUUAAAGACGAAGGUUGUUUUUGAUCUCUUGCACAUUUCUGACAACCUUCGCACUUUUGGACUAAAUCCGCUGCAUCCGAAGCUGCCUUCGGCCAAUAAAAUCCUUGACGAAAUACUUUCCCAAACAAAGGCCUAGAUCCAAUGUGAGAUCCACACAGACCUGCGUGUAUUUCCUUCAUCAAUUCUAUGCCUUCGGAUCUGGAUAAACAUUUGAGCAACGGGGAACAGACCCCUCGCUUGUAUAAUUCCCCUUCUAUUAUGACAUAUGGUCGAGCUCUUGCUUCUAUCCUCCUGUUAUAAGCUUCGUCAUCUGAAAGAAAAUUACCCUGAAGGAAAGAGAUGAUUUCAGUUCUCCAAUCUUCACUAUAGACAGGGGAUAUGUUAAGAACCGCUCUUUCGAGAAGCUCGACCGAAGGUGCUUUUAUUGUUUCAAAAAAUACUUCCGAAGGUAAAGGCAGCCCCUGUGCUGCUGACUUGGCCAAUAGAUCAGCGUAUUCAUUCUCUCCACGAGGAAUAUUUUUUACAGAGAAUCCUUCGAAAGAAGCCUCAAUCCUUCGGACUGUAUCUAAAUAUUUUUCAAGCUUCGGGUCUCUUGCUUUAUAGCUCUUGUCAAUAUGACCAGAAAUAACUUGGGAGUCAGUUUUAAGAAUGGCCCUUCUGAUUCCCAUUGCCUUUAACUUCCGAAGACCCAAGAGCAGAGCUUCAUACUCAGCGAUAUUAUUUGUGCAACUAAAAUCAAGUCUUGCCGCAUAACAAGUUUUAACUUUGGAAGGUGAAACCAACACAGCAGCCGCUCCUGCUCCGAAGGUUCCCCAAGACCCAUCGCAAAAUACUGUCCAUGCUUCGGCAUCUUUAUUUGUUUCUUCCUCCUGAGCCCCUGGCGUCCAGUCAGCAAUGAAGUCUGCCAACGCUUAGGACUGAAUCGAAGAUCUAUGGACAUAAUCAAUACAAAAUUCAUUGAGCUCUGCAGCCCAUUUUCCAAUCCUUCCAGUAGCUUCUCGGUUUCUCAUAAUAUCCUUUAGAGGUUGUGAAGAAGGAACAAUUAUGUUGUAAGCUUGAAAAUAAUGCCGAAGCUUCCUGGAGGCCAUCAAAACAGCAUACAGUACCUUCUCCAAUUCUGUAUAAUUUUUCUUUGAUAAACUAAGAACCUCGGAUACGAAAUAUAUUGGGGCCUGCCUCUUAACUUGGCCUUCAAGCUUCUCCUAGACAAGUGCUGCACUUACCGCUGAGUGCGAAGCUACCACAUAUAAUAACAAAGGAGCCCCUGGCGUUGGUGGAGUUAAUGUUGUUAAAUCUAUCAAAUAUUGCUUCAGUUCUUCGAAGGCUCUCUGCUGGACUGGUCCCCAUUGAAAAACUUCGGCUGACUUCAGUACUUCGAAAAAUGGUAAAUUUCUCUCUGCUGAUCUAGAUAUGAAUCUGUUGAGAGAUGCCAGCCUUCCUGUCAAUCUUUGGGCCCCCUUCUUUGUACUUGGUGGUUCCAUUCGAAGUAUAGCUUCGAUUUUGCUUGGAUUAGCCUCAAUUCCCUUUGUUGAAACUAAGCAACCAAGAAAUUUCCCCUUCUUUACUCUGAAGACACAUUUUUCUGGAUUCAGUUUUAAGCCAGCCUGCCUAAAAUUAGCGAAGGUCUCCUGCAGAUCAGCAAUGUGGUUGUCUUGCUUCGUGCUUUUUACAAUGAUAUCAUCAACAUAAGUUAACACAUUCCUGCCUAUCUGAGAAUGAAGAACCUUCGCUGUCAUUCUGCUGAAGCUCCCUCCAGCAUUUUUAAGCCCCUCAGGCAUCCAAAGUAACAAUAUGUCCCACUAGGGGUUAUAAAGCUGGUUUUUGGUUCAUCCUCCUUCAUCCAGAUUUGAUGAUAGCCUGAAUAGCAAUCCAGCAGACUCAUAAGCUCUGAUGAAGCUGCUGCAUCAACUAAGGAAUCUAUCCUUGGCAAUGGAAAUUCGUCCUUCGGACAGGCCUUAUUGAGAUCAGUAAAAUCGAUACACAUUCUCCAUUUACCAUUGGCCUUCUUCACCAUAACAGUGUUAGCCAACCAUUCUGGGUAUUUUACCUCUCUAAUAACUCCGGCACUGAGGAAUCUUUUCACUUCAUUCCAAGCACCUUCGGCCUUGUCAUCAGACAUCUUCCGAAGCCUCUGCUUUAUGGGUCUGAAGGAUGGAUCAACAUUGAGCGAGUGCUCAAUGACAUCCCUGUUAACUCCACAAAGAUUAUUGGCUGACCAAGCAAAAACAUCUUUAUUGUUGAACAAAAACCUUAUCAAGGUUUUCUCCUGUUCUUCGGACAAUUGAGAUCCCAAUAGCACCUUCUGCUCUGCUAUAUCCUCACAUAAGAGCAUGGGCUUCGGCUGAUCAGCCGAAGCAGCCUUUUCCCUUCUGAACUUGUAUUGCUCACAAGCUUCAGUUCCAUCUAUAUUAUGGAUUGCUUUUGAGUCUGUCCAAUUUCCUUCAGCCAUUCUGGCAGCUUCCUGACUUCCAUGAAUAGCAAUGGGCCCUUGGUCCGAAGGUAUCUUCAUGCAAAGAUAAGCUGGAUGAAGAAUUGCUUCGAAGGCAUUGAGAGUACCACGACCAAUGAUUGCAUUAUAAGGGUAUUCCAUGUCAACAAUAUCAAACACAACUUGUUCAGUCCUUGUGUUGUUGAUAAAUCCGAAGGUCACUGGCAUUGAGAUUUUGGCGAGUGCUACAAUCUGCCUUCCUCCGAAGCCGCAAAGGGGAUGUGUGGCAUCGAGAAUUUUAUCUUCGGGCUCUUGCAUCUGUCUGAAGGCCUUAGCAAAUAUGAUAUCAGCUGCACUGCCUGUAUCAACCAAAACAUUGUGGACCAGAAAUCCUUUGAUAACACAAGAGAUAACCAUAGCAUCGUUGUGUGGGUAAUCCUUGAGUUGAAGAUCCUCUUGGGAGAAGGUAAUAGGAAUGUGAGACCAUCUUGAUUUGAUGAAGGGUCCUUGCACCCCGACGUGCUGUACCCUUCUUUGUGCCUCUUUCUUCUGCUUCUUGUUGGCUGGCUCUGAGCAUGAACCGCCUGUUAUCGGGAGUACCAGCUUCGGACGAAGCAGCUCCAGCUUGAAUGUUGAACGAAGCCAUCAGCUCAAAAAAGUGGAAGUAAGUUCACCGGAGGUGGGCGCCAAUGUUGGGGAUUUGUUCUCAAAUGCUAUGAAUUAAGAACAAGGCAACAUAAAAUGUUAAAUAUCAAAGUCCUUCGUCCACUGAAACAUUAUUUCCUCAAGGAUUUAAUGAACUUCGGACGAAGGUUAUAAUGACACGAUUACGAAGAUUAUAUCUUCGUAAUUGAACUCUCAAAGAUAAUAUAAAACAACACGAGACAUAAAGCAUUAAAGACAAGUAAAUUAGAAAUGAACAACAUCAUUUAUAUAUUAUGUAAACUUAAAAUAUUCAAAUAUAAUGUUUAGGUGCAUUUAUACCUCUGCCUUGGCAAAGAAUAAUUUCCGAGUGAUGCGAUUGCAAUUACAGGAAUCCGUGAACAGUAAAGGAAUAUUGUUCACUAUUUAUAGGCACAGGACACAACCUAUGAGCAAUUACAAUCAUACCCCUCAUAAAAGAUUUCAACAACGACUCAAACUCUUACGGACUAAAAGGUCAUUCUAUCUUUAAGUCGGUUUGUAAUUCCGAAGCUUCAUGAAUGGCACCCUUCGGCAUCACGUACAAACAGCUUCAGCCGAAGCUGUUUCUUCCUGCAGGACCUUUGGCGACGAAGCAUGGUCCCAACAAUGCCUAAGUUUGUUAAAAGUUUGUUCAUCUAGUGGCUUGGUAAAGAUAUCGGCUAAUUGAUCUUUAGUGUUAAUAUAUGAAAUCUCGAUAUCUCCCUUUUGUUGGUGAUCCCUUAAAAAGUGAUAGCGAAUGGCUAUGUGUUUAGUGCGGCUAUGCUCAACGGGAUUAUCCGCCAUGCGGAUUGCACUCUCAUUAUCACAUAGAAGAGGAACUUUGGUUAAUUUGUAACCAUAGUCCCUAAGGGUUUGCCUCAUCCAAAGUACUUGCGCGCAACAAUGUCCUGCAGCAAUGUACUCGGCUUCGGUGGUAGAAAGAGCUACGGAAUUUUGCUUCUUUGAAGCCCAAGACACCAAGGAUCUUCCCAAGAACUGGCAAGUCCCCGAUGUGCUCUUUCUAUUAAUCUUACACCCUACCCAAUCGGCAUCCGAAUAACCAAUCAAAUCGAAAGUGGAUCCCCUAGGAUACUGUCGGGGACCAUAAUUAGGGGUACCCUCAAGGCUCCUAAUUCUCAACUGGUAACCCCCAUUAGCACAAAGCUGAAAGGCCUGAUGGGUGCGACUAAGUCAGGGAUCGGUCCAUUCGAGGGACUCGAUCACGCCUCGCCCGAGCCCAGCCUCGGGCAAGGGCAGCCAACCCCGGAGGAUCUCCGUCUCGCCCGAGGCCCCCUCCAGCGACGAACAUACUUCCGGCUCGCCUGAGGCCCAGUCUUCGCCAAGAAGCAACCCUGGCCAAAUCGCCACGCCUACCGACCAAAUCGCAGGGGCGUUUAAUGCAAAGGUGGCCUGAUACCUUUAUCCUGACGCGCGUCCUCCAGUCGACAGAGCCGAAGUGACCGCAGUCACUUCACCGCUCCACUAACUGGCCUGACAGAAGGACAGCGCCGCCUGCGCCGCUCCGACUGCUAUGCCACUCGACAGAGUGAGGCUGACAGGCAGUCAGGCCCGGCCUCAGGCACCAUAGGAAACUCUGCUCCGCCCGACCCAGGGCUCGGACUCGGGCUCAGCCCCGGAAGACGGCGAACUCCGCUCCGCCCGACUCAGGGCUCGGACUCGGGCUCAGCCCCGGAAGACGGCGAACUCCGCUCCGCCCGACCCAGGGCUCGGACUCGGGCUCAGCCCCAGAAGACGACGAACUCCGCUCCGCCCGACCCAGGGCUCGGACUCGGGCUCAGCCCCGGAAGACGACGAACUCCGAUCCGCCCAACCCCAGGGCUCGGACUCGGGCUCAGCCCCGGAAGAUGACGAACUCUGAUCCGCCCAACCCCAGGGCUCGGACUCGGGCUCAGCCCCGGAAGACGACGAACUCCGCUUCGCCCGACCCCAGGGCUCGGACUCAGCCCUGGCUUCAGCCGACAGUCUCCGCCUCGCCCGACCCAGGGGCUCAGACUCGACCUCGGCCUCGGAAGACAGACUUGACCUCGACCUCGGAGGAGCCUCCACAUCGCCCAACCUAGGGCGUGGACCGACCACGUCAACAGGAGGCGCCAUCAUUACCCUACCCCAAGCUGACUCAGGCUACGGGGAACAAGACCGGUGUCCCAUCUGGCUCGCUCCGCCAGACAAGUAAUGAUGGCGCCCCGCACGCUCUAUGACGACGGCGGCUCUCAGCCCCCUUACGGAAGCGAGAGGACGUCAGCAAGGACUCAACAGCCCCGACAGCUGUCCUUCUGCCAGGCUCCAGCGCUCCUCCGACGGCCACAACACCACAUGAACCGGGUGCCAAAACCUCUCCGGCUGCCACGAUGGCAUGUACUUAGGGCGCUAGCUCUCCUCCGCUAGACACGUUAGCACUCUGCUACACCCCCAUUGUACACCUGGAUCCUCUCCUUGCGCCUAUAAAAGGAAGGACCAGGGCCCUCAUACAGAAGGUUGGCCGCGCGGGGAAGAGGACGGGACAGGCGCUCGCGUGAGGCCGCUCGCUCCCCCUCCCGCGUGGACGCUUGUAACCCCCUACUGCAAGCGCACCCGACCUGGGCGCGGGACGAACACGAAGGCCGCGGGAUUUCCACCUCUCUCAUGCCUUCUUCCCCCCUUCGCGCUCGGCCUCGCGCCGACCCAUCUGGGCUGGGGCACGCGGCGACAUUUUACUCGUCGGCCCAGGGACCCCCCCGGUCUCGAAACGCCGACAGUUGGCGCGCCAGGUAGGGGCCUACUGCGUGUUGACAAACAGCUUCCCGUCAAGCUCCAGAUGGGCAGUCUCCAACAACCUUUCCGGCCCGGGUCGGUGUUCCGUUUCGGGAGUCUUGAGUUCAUGUCCCUCGACGGCAGCUACAACAUGAUACUCCUUCCCCCGUCGUGCGACAGCGACAAUGGCGGCCGACAGCCCGCCCGCCGGCGGCGGAAUCGACGACGUCUUCCCCGCGUGGUGGAAGAACAACAUUCGAGCUCACCCCGCCCUCUCCCCCGCCGACGGAGGAGGAGGCGGGGCAACCAAGGCCAAGCAGGAGGCGGCACCUCGUCGGCUGUCAAGCGAGUCGACGGCGCCGGCGCCCCAACGGGGGGCUCGUCGAGCAUCGACCUCGCGUUUGAGACGAAGACGAGCGCCGUCUCCCCGCAACACGCCAAUUCCAAGCAAACGGACGACGCCAGCACGCUCGCGAAAGGCUUGCUGGGCGUCACCCUCGUACCUGAGACGACGGUGCAGUCAGCCCGUCGACCAAGAGGUAUCCACCGGUUCCCAUCUCACGCCUCUUGGAUUCAGCCUCGACCCGCCGAGCGGCUUCGCUUUGGCGGACGCUCUCGUGGAGGCGAGUCCGAACCCUCUAGGGUAUCGUAUGCGGUCACCCUGGGACCGGCUGACGGACGUCUCGACCUACGGGCCCUCGGGGUCCGAGGAAGAUGACGAGCCCGACUUCUGUUGGGACUUCUCCGGACUUGGUAACCCCAGUGCCGUGCGGGACUUCAUGACCGCAUGCGACUACUGCCUUUCCGACUGUUCCGACGGUAGCCGCAGCCUCGGCGACGAGGACUGCGGCCCAAGUCGUGAAUGUUUCCACGUCGAUCUAGGGGGUCCCUCCGAAGGCAACCAUCUUGGUAUGCCGGAGAACGGUGAUCCCCCUAGGCCUGUGCCUCGCGUUGACAUCCUACGGGAGCUAGCUGUGGUCCCCGUUCCGGCGGGGGGUCAUGACCCACAGCUCGAGCAAAUCCGCGGGGUGCCGGCCAGGCUCGACGAGGGAGCAGGAGCACUUGAGCCGAUCCGCCGGGACGUCGGGCAGGAAUGGGCGGGCCAACCUCCGGCCGGAGAAGUGCGCCAUCUACCCUGUAAGGAAAAUGGACCCCAGGCCUUUUGGCUAAUUGAGUUUUGGUGUUUGAUGAUUAACACAACCUGUGGACUAAUAUGUUUGCUAGUGUUUAUAAUUAUAGUUCACAGGAUGCGAAGAGAAUUGGACCAAGGCAAUGAGGAUGCAACACCUCAAAAGAAGACAUAAAAAGAUGCAUAGGAGUCCAAUACUCAAGAACAAAAGAAGCCUGAAGAAAUCAGCAAAGGAAUCCAAGAAACGGGCUGUCAGCCAGCGCCUGGUGGCGCACCGGACAUUGAUGUCCGGUGUGCACCGGACUGUCCGGUGAGGCACCGGACAGUCUGCGCAGAGAGGCCACGGACAGGCGCUCUCUGGCUGUAGCACCGGACUGUCCGGUGUGCACCGGACUGUCCGGUGUGCCACGGGCAGACGGCAACGGUUAGAUCCAACGGUCGACUGCUACAGGCGCCAACGGUCGGCUGACGUGGCGUGCACCGGACACUGCACAGUAGAUGUCCGGUGGUGCACCGGACUGUCCGGUGCACCCGACGACAGAAAGCUGCUGCUUUCUGUCCAACGGCUAGUUUGGGGUGUGGAGGCUAUAAAUACCACCCCAACCGGCCAUUCUCAAGUGUGAGAGCCCAAGCAACAUACCAAGACACAUAGUGCAUAUUUCCAAGAGCUCAAACACCCAAGUGCUUAAUAGAAUCACUCGGUGAUUAGCGUAGGUGCUUUGCGAAGUGCUUAGGUUAGUUAGACCGCUUUAGCGCUUGCUCUAGGUGAACCCUAGUUAGUUGAGUGAGUUUUGUAAAACCACACAACCCCUCGGCUCUUGUGUGAGUCGUUGUAAUUGUACCGAGUGGGGCGAGAGUCUUGCGAGACCGUGACAACCGCGUUUGUGUCACGGCCGCCACCGUGUACCGGAGGGAACGAGGCCCGCGGCGUUUCGGCCGGAAGCUCGAUAAUGGAGACGGCGGGGAGCGUCCGAGAGGAGCCGGAAGCGGAGCACCACUUGCGCGUGGAGAAGGCCCGUGGCUCUCUACGGAGUUACUCGACCGUGGUGCUUGGCCCUCGCGUGGGCUUCCCUUUGCGUAGGGGCACCAACGAGGAUUAGUUGGGACCUUGCGUGGUUCCGGAUACCUCGGUAAAAAUACCGGCGUCAUCCACGAGAGUUUGCUUCUCUACUUAGCUCUUUACAUUCCGCAUUUAUAUUAAGCAUUUAAGUUUCAAUCUUGUAGUCAUACUUAUUUAGUGUAGAUUGAAACUUAGCCUUUGCGGUAGAGAUAGCAACACUUAGACAAAACCUAGUUUGCACAUUCUAGUUUUGAUUAUUUGCAUAGGUUUUGCUCUAGUGAUUUAAUUGUGGCCUAGUUUAGUAAAAGUUUUAGAAGUCCUAAUUCACCCCCCUCUUAGGCGUCACCCGUUUCCUACAAGUGGUAUCGGAGCCCGGUUUGGCUCAUUUGAAACGCUUUAGCUUCACCGCUAAAAGAGCCGACGCUUUUUAGAGGAAGGGAUGGAUACCCAUAGGCCACCACACUUCGACGGCACUAACUUCCCAUAUUAUAGUGCUAGAAUGGCUUGUUACCUAGAGGCCGUUGAUCUAGGUGUUUGGAGAGUCACUCGUGACGGGAUGAAACCCCUCAAGAAUCCCGAGAAACCCACCACGAGUGAGGAAAAAGAAAUCCAUUUAAAUGCUAGAGCCAAAAAUUGCUUGUAUGAAUCUCUUAGCUUGGAUAUUUUUAACCAAGUAUUUACCUUGAAACUGCUAAUGAGAUUUGGCUAAAAAUGCAUGAGCUCCAUGACGGCACAUCCAAUGUCCGUGAGCAAAAACAUUGCCUAGUCUUAAAUGAGUAUAAUUCUUUUGCUAUGAAAGAUGAUGAGCUUGUUAGAGACAUGUAUUCUCGUUUGAAUCUAAUAAUCAAUGAGCUCAACUCUAUUGGCAUUAAUAAGCUAGGCGAUGCGGACAUUGUGAGGAAGAUUAUCUCCCUGCUACCACAACAAAGAUAUGGGAGCAUCAUCACCAUCCUUCACAACAUGGAGGACUUGAGCAACAUGACCCCGACCAUUGUGAUUGGGAAAAUCGCGGCCUUCGAGAUGUCACGAAAAAUGAGUCGGGGAGAGGAGCCAACUUCCUCAAGACCAUAUGCUUUUGCAUGUGAUGAAAGGAAGGGCAAAAAGAAGGCUCCCACUCCAAGUUCCUCAAGUGAAGAAGAGGAAGAAGAAGAAAGUGAUGAUGAUGAAGAUAAUCAACCAUGCACAUCAUCCUCCAAGGACGAAGAAACAAUCCAACGCGUCGGAAAGGUAAUGAGGAUGAUCCGCAAGAUUAAUCUAAUGGGUGUGCCCCUGCAGGUCGAGGAUCUUCUCUUUAACAUUGACAGGAAAAAGCAAAGAAAGAGAGGAUGCUUCGCAUGUGGGGAGAAGGGCCACUUCAGGGACAGCUGUCCAACUUUGGCUGAACCCAAAAAGGAGAGGAGCAAAGGCAAGGCGCUAACAAGUGUUAGAACUUGGGAUGAUUCUUCAAGUGAAGAUGAACCUCCAAGGACGCGCAACCACCGAUCCUCAUCACGCUCAUCACGGUCAUCACACAAAUGCCUUAUGGCAAGAGGUAACAAAAGCAUUCCAUCCUCUAGUGAUGAAAGUAGUAGCGAUGAUGAAGGUGAGGGAAAGCCCUCUGUAGAUGAGCUUGCGGAAGCCGUAGAAUUUUUCCAGGAUGUUUGCACUAAGCAAAAAGCUCAACUUAAAACUUUGAAAAAUAAGUUGGUUAGCUCUCAAAAUGAUUACAAAGGUUUGCUAGAAAAAUUUGAAUCUUUUGCAAACUUAAAUAGUGAGCUAUCAACUAAAAUUGAGCUAUUAGAAUCUAGUGCUCCAUCCACUGCUACCGAUGAUAGCCUUAUUAAAAAGAAUGAAAAACUGAAAGCUAAGUUAGCUAGCUCCCAAGAAGCUAUUGAAAAUUUGCUAGAGAAAAUGGAAAUUCUCAGUAUUCACAAUAAUGAGCUAACUACUAAGCUAGAAAACAUUGGUAGCACCCCAGCAGCAUCUUUAGUUGAAAUACCUGAAAUAAUUAAGAAAGAUGCUUCUACUUCCUGCUUUGAUUUAAUUGAUGAUUCUAACCCCUGCAACCAAGUCGUUGUUGAGAAUAUUGUUGUAGAGACAUGCUCGGAUGAGGUUGCAAAGGAAAAUGAACAAUUAAAGCAAGAAGUGGCUCGCCUUGGCAAGGCUUUGUAUGACAAGAAAGGCAAAGCCAAACAAAUCCAACCUCCACAGGAUAACACCACUGCGGGAGUGAACAAGCCUAUGGAGGGAGAAACUGUGAUUUGUAGGCUAUGCCACAAGGAAGGCCACAAGUCUUUCCAAUGCAAGGCGAUGACCGGGGAUAAACAAAGGCAAAAGCUCAAGCAAAAGCCAUAAAGCAAAAUCUCCAACACCUACAUCAAAAAGGUGGAUAAAAAGACUGCUACACCAUACUUAAUCAAAAAGAAGAAGAAUGGAAAGGUGAUAGCAAUCAAGGCCAACAAGCAAGCCAACAAAGGAAAGGGGGCCAAACGCAUCUGGGUGCCAAAGGAAAUAAUUUCAACCAUGAAGAGCACCAAGAAGGUUUGGAUUCUGAAAGGGAAGUGAGUGGACCGAAGGUCCUCGGGAAAUUUGGAGACUUGGCAAAAUUGGGAUGUAUAUCAUGGGAUACAUCAUAUUGGAUCAAGUUUAUUGCCAAGUGGGUUAGUGAAAACUUUGGACCCAAAUUUCCCACCCAUAACUAAGGUAACUAGUUUUAUUGUAUUCCUCGUUUUUGGAUAUGCGUAUCUAUUUAUCUUUUAUCUAGUUUACCUUUCUUGCCUAGUAUUACAUUUGUUAUGUACUUUUGUUUAAAAUCAUGCAUACUAGGUAAAUCAUAUGGUAGGAUUGCUUGCUUUUAAUUCAUAUACCUAAGCAAACCUACAUGGCUUAAAAUGUUUAUUUAAGCACGACACAUAGCUUUUAUAUCUCUCUGUAGUAAAUGAUGCAAUAAUUGAAAAUUUUGAUUUCUACAAGUUGUAUCAUUUAACUUAUAUGUGCCAAUGUUAGGAUUGUAGAUAAUUUGCCCCUCUUGAUAUCAAAUCAAAAUGCAUGUCUCCUACAAGUAUUCAAAACUUGUAUGCACACCUUUAGGGGGAGAUUACUCUAUAAUCUAACACUUUGAGACUAACACCUUUUCAAGUCUAUUUUAUGUGAUAGUCCCAUUGUAAGGAAUAUGAGGUCCCCGGAGAAAGACAACAAUCUUCCACUGCAAAAUCUCCAAGAACUCUCAUGUCUCUCAAGCUCACCAUUGACUUUCAAUUGGUAUCUUUUGAGACUAUAUCCAGUAUCAUUUACAUGUCUUCUCCAAAAUUUGAUUAGACUAUAUUUCAUAUCAUAUGCUUCCAUGUUGCUAAAAAUGCAUAAGUAGUUAACUCAUAUUCUGUUACCUAUGCAUAAGGGAAGUUAGUCUUUUCAAAUCUUGUCUUGCACCUCUAAUUUUCACAUGCUUUUUCCUAAGUAGAGGAUCUCUGUCAGGGGGAGUAUUUCCUCAUCUCUAAAAAGGGGGGAGAAACUCCUUCUAAAGAAAACACUCAUUUAGGGGGAGUAAUCAUUUCAACUGGUAUCAUUCAUGUGGUUUAAUUUAAUAUCCUUCUAGUGGUAUCAUUUGAUAAAAUUCUUGAUGAGAGCAAGCUGUUAUUUACUUCCUUCAUGCUCUUAAUGUCUUCCUUUUCGGUGGUUGAUGCCAAAGGGGGAGAAGUUUAGGGACCAAAGUAAUGAAAACUAUAUCAAACACCAAACACCACCAAUUUAAAAUUUUAUAUCUACAAAUGGUUUUUCCAAUGGUUUUGGUUAUUUGGUCCAAAAAUAGGAAGUAAGUGAAUUAUGGAGUUAGGGGGAGGCUUAAGUCCAUAAUUUCACAUUGUGGGGAUAAUCAUGCAUCUUAACAAGUAGAUUGCAUAUUUUAAAUACCUGUAUUAUUUGCUUGCUUUGGUUGUGUUGUCAUCAAGCACCAAAAAGUGGGAGAUUGUAAGGAAAAUGGACCCCAGGCCUUUUGGCUAAUUGAGUUUUGGUGUUUGAUGAUUAAAACAACCUGUGGACUAAUAUGUUUGCUAGUGUUUAUAAUUAUAGUUCACAGGAUGCGAAGAUAAUUGGACCAAGGCAAUGAGGAUGCAACACCUCAAAAGAAGACAUAAAAAGAUGCAUAGGAGUCCAAUACUCAAGAACAAAAGAAGCCCAAAGAAAUCAGCAAAGGAAUCCAAGAAACGGGCUGUCAGCCAGCGCCUGGUGGCGCACCGGACAUUGAUGUCUGGUGUGCACCAGACUGUCCGGUGAGGCACCGGACUGUCCGGUGAGGCACCGGACAGUCUGCGCAGAGAGGCCACGGACAGGCGCUCUCUGGCUGUAGCACCGGACUGUCCGGUGUGCACCGGACUGUCCGGUGUGCCACGGGCAGACGGCAACGGUCGGAUCCAACGGUCGACUGCUACAGGCGCCAACGGUCGGCUGACGUGGCGUGCACCGGACACUGCACAGUAGAUGUCCGGUGGUGCACCGGACUGUCCGGUGCACCCGACGACAGAAAGCUGCUGCUUUCUGUCCAACGGCUAGUUUGGGGUGUGGAGGCUAUAAAUACCACCCCAACCGGCCAUUCUUAAGUGUGAGAGACCAAGCAACAUACCAAGACACAUAGUGCAUAUUUCCAAGAGCUCAAACACCCAAGUGCUUAAUAGAAUCACUCGGUGAUUAGCGUAGGUGCUCAAACACCCAAGUGCUCAAACACCCAACUUGCGUGGUUCCGGAUACCUCGGUAAAAAUACCGGCGUCAUCCACGAGAGUUUGCUUCUCUACUUAGCUCUUUACAUUCCGCAUUUAUAUUAAGCAUUUAAGUUUCAAUCUUGUAGUCAUACUUAUUUAGUGUAGAUUGAAACUUAGCCUUUGCGGUAGAGAUAGCAACACUUAGACAAAACCUAGUUUGCACAUUCUAGUUUUGAUUAUUUGCAUAGUUUUUGCUCUAGUGAUUUAAUUGUGGCCUAGUUUAGUAAAAGUUUUAGAAGUCCUAAUUCACCCCCCUUUUAGGCGUCACCCGUUUCCUACACACCCCAGGGUAUCCAGCACCGCAUCGCCGACGACGUCAGGGUAAGGCUGUCGCCCGCUUCUAGUGGAGUCGGCCAGAACCUGGCUGCAGCAACAAUGCUUCUCCGCGCGAUGCCAGAGCCAUCAACCACCGAGGGGCGGCGAAUCCAGGGAGAGCUCAAGAAUCUCCUGGAGGGCGCCGCGGUCCGACGGGCCGAAAGCUCCGCCUCCCAAAGGCAGGGGUGCCCCUCGGAACAUCGCGCUGCGACUUCCCGAUUCAUGCGGGAAGCCUCGGUCCACACCGGGCGCACGCGCAACACAGCGCCUGCGGCCCCGGGUCGCCUCGGCAACAAGCACCAUCACCGCGACCGUCGGGCCCACCUCGAUGAGAGGGUGCGCCGAGGCUACCACCCCAGGCGUGGGGGACGCUACGACAGCGGGGAGGAUCAGAGUCCCUCGCCCGAACCACCCGGUCCACAGGCUUUCAGCCGCGCCAUACGACGGGCGCCGUUCCCGACCCGGUUCCGAACCCUGACUACUAUCACAAAGUACUCGGGGGAGACGAGACCGGAACUGUGGCUCGCGGACUACCGGCUGGCCUGCCAACUGGGUGGAACGGACGAUGACAACCUCAUCAUCCGCAACCUCCCCCUGUUCCUCUCCGACACCGCUCGCGCCUGGUUGGAGCACCUGCCUCCGGGGCAGAUCUCCAACUGGGACGACCUGGUCCAAGCCUUCGCCGGCAAUUUCCAGGGCACGUACGUGCGCCCUGGGAACUCCUGGGACCUCCGAAGCUGCCGGCAGCAGCCGGGAGAGUCUCUCCGGGACUACAUCCGGCGAUUCUCGAAGUAGCGCACCGAGCUGCCCAACAUCACCGAUUCGGAUGUCAUCGGCGCGUUCCUCGCCGGCACCACCUGCCACGACCUGGUGAGCAAGCUGGGUCGCAAGACCCCCACCAGGGCGAGCGAGCUGAUAGACAUCACCACCAAGUUCGCCUCUGGCCAGGAGGCGGUUGAGGCUAUCUUCCGGAAGGACAAGCAGCCCCAGGGCCGCUCACCGGAAGACGCCCCCGAGGCGUCAACUCAGCGCGGCGCCAAGAAGAAGGGCAAGAAGAAGUCGCAAGCGAAACGCGACGCCACCGACGCGGACCUUGUCGCCGCCGCCGAGUACAAGAACCCUCGGAAACCCCCCGGAGGUGCCAACCUCUUCGACAAAAUGCUCAAGGAGCCGUGCCCCUAUCAUCAGGGGCCCGUCAAGCACACCCUUGAGGAGUGCGCUAUGCUUCGGCGCCACUUCCACAGGGCCGGGCCACCCGCGGAGGGUGGCAGGGCUCGCGACGACGACAAGAAGGAAGAUCACCAGGCAGGAGAGUUCCCCGAGGUCCGCGACUGCUUCAUGAUCUACGGUGGGCAAGCGGCAAACGCCUCGGCUCGGCACCGCAAGCAAGAGCGUCAGGAGGUCUAUUCGGUGAAGGUGGCGGCGCCAGUCUAUCUAGACUGGUCCGACAAGCCCAUCACCUUCGACCAAGCCGACCACCCUGACCACGUGCCGAGCUCGGGGAAAUACCCGCUCGUUGUCGACCCCAUCAUCGGCAACGUCAGACUCACCAAGGUCCUCAUGGACGGAGGCAGCAGCCUCAACAUCAUCUACGCCGAGACCCUUGGGCUCCUGCGUGUUGAUCUGUCCUCGGUCCGAGCAGGCGCUGCGCCUUUCCACGGGAUCAUCCCCGAGAAGCGCAUCCAGCCCCUCGGACAACUCGACCUUCCCGUCUGCUUCGGAACACCCUCCAACUUCCGAAGGGAGACCCUCACGUUCGAGGUGGUCGGGUUCCGAGGAACCUACCACGCAGUAUUGGGGAGGCCAUGCUACGCGAAGUUCAUGGCCGUCCCUAACUACACCUACCUCAAGCUCAAGAUGCCGGGCCCCAACGGGGUCAUCACCGUCGGCCCCACGUACAAACACGCGUUCGAAUGCGACGUGGAGUGCGUGGAGUACGCCGAGGCCCUCGCCGAGUCCGAGGCCCUCAUCGCCGACCUAUAGAACCUCUCUAAGGAGGUGCCAGACGUGAAGCGUCACCCCGACAACUUCGAGCCAGCAGAGACGGUUAAGUCCGUCCCCCUCGACCCCAGCGGCGACGCCUCCAAGCAGAUCCGGAUCGGCUCCGAGCUUGAUCCCAAAUAGGAAGCAGUGCUCAUCAACUUUCUCCGCGCAAACGCCGACGUUUUCGCGUGGAGUCCCUCGGACAUGCCCGGCAUACCGAGGGAUGUCGCCGAGCACUCGCUGGAUAUCCGAGCUGGAGCCCGAACCGUCAAGCAGCCUCUGCGCCGAUUCGACGAAGAAAAGCGCAGAGCCAUUAGCGAGGAGAUCCACAAGCUAAUGGCGACAGGGUUUAUCAAAGAGGUAUUCCAUCCCGAAUGGCUUGCCAACCCUGUGCUUGUGAGAAAGAAAGGAGGGAAAUGGCGGAUGUGUGUAGACUACACUGGUCUAAACAAAGCAUGUCCGAAGGUUCCCUACCCUCUGCCUCGCAUCGAUCAAAUCGUGGAUUCCACUGCUGGGUGCGAAACCCUGUCUUUCCUUGAUGCCUACUCAGGGUAUCACCAAAUCAGGAUGAGAGAGUCCGACCAGCUCGCGACUUCUUUCAUCACACCCUUCGGCAUGUACUGCUAUGUCACCAUGUCGUUCGGCUUGAGGAAUGCGGGUGCGACGUACCAGCGGUGCAUGAACCAUGUGUUCGACGAACACAUUGGCCGGAGGGUCGAGGCCUACGUCGAUGACAUCGUAGUCAAGACGAGGAAAGCCUCCGACCUCCUUUCCGACCUUGAAGUGACAUUCCGAUGUCUCAAGGCGAAAGGAGUGAAGCUUAAUCCCGAGAAGUGUGUCUUUGGGGUUCCCCGAGGCAUGCUCUUGGGGCUCAUCGUCUCCGAGCGGGGCAUCGAAGCCAACCCGGAGAAGAUCGCAGCCAUCACCAGCAUGGGCCCAUCAAGGACUUGAAAGGCAUACAAAGAGUCAUGGGAUGUCUUGCGGCUCUGAACCGCUUCAUCUCACACCUCGGCGAAAGAGGUCUGCCUCUAUACCGCCUCUUAAGGAAGGCCGAGUGCUUCACUUGGACCCCUAAGGCCGAGGAAGCCCUCGGGAACCUGAAGGCGCUCCUCACGAACGCGCCCAUCUUGGUGCCCCCCGCUGCCGGAGGAGCUGGCUAAAAUAGCCUCGGGGCGAACAACGGUUCCCCCGGACGUCUUCUCCCGAGACCUGCAUCAACCCUCCGUCAAGAUCGAUGACACGCCCGAGCCCGAGGCACCCUCGGCCCAGCCCGAGGUACCCUCGGCUCAGUCCGAGGCACCCUCGGCUCGGCCCGAGGCACCCUCAGCUCGGCCCGAGGCACCCUCAGCUCGGCCCGAGGCACCCUCGGUUCAGCCCGAGGUACCCUCAGCCCCCAAGGGUGAGGCACUGCGCGUCAAGAAGGAGCGAAGCGGGGUCACGCCUAAUCGAAACUGGCAGACCCCGUACCUGCAGUAUCUCCACCAAGGAGAGCUACCCCUCGACCGAGCCAAAGCUCGGUGGUUGGCGCGGCGCGCCAAGUCGUUCGUCUUGCUGGGAGAUGGGAAGGAGCUCUACCACCGUAGCCCCUCAGGCAUCCUCCAGCGAUGCAUUUCCAUCGCCGAAGGCCAGGAGCUCCUACAAGAGAUACACUCGAGGGCUUACGGCCAUCACGCAGCACCUCGAGCCCUUGUUGGAAACGCCUUCCGACAAGGUUUCUACUUGCCGAUGCGGUUGCUGACGCCACUAGAAUUGUCCGCACCUGCGAAGGGUGUCAGUUCUACGCGAGGCAGACCCACCUGCCCGCUCAGGCUCUGCAGACGAUACCCAUCACCUGACCUUUUGCUAUGUGGGGUCUGGACCUCGUCGGCCCCUUGCAGAAGGCACCCGGGGGCUACACGCACCUGUUGGUCGCCAUCGACAAAUUCUCCAAGUGGAUCGAGGUCCGACCCCUAAACAGCAUCAGGUCCGAACAGGCGGUGGCGUUCUUCACCAACAUCAUCCAUCGUUUUGGGGUCCCGAACUCCAUCAUCACCGACAACGGCACCCAGUUCACCGGCAGAAAGUUCCUGGACUUCUGCGAGGAUCACCGCAUCCGGGUGGACUGGGCAGCCGUGGCACACCCCAUGACGAAUGGGCAAGUAGAGCGUGCCAAUGGCAUGAUUCUACAAGGACUCAAGCCUCGGAUCUACAAUGACCUCAACAAGUUCGGCAAGCGAUGGAUGAAGGAACUCCCCUCGGUGGUCUGGAGCCUGAGGACAACGCCGAGCCGAGCCACAGGCUUCACGCCGUUCUUUCUAGUCUAUGGGGCCGAGGCCAUCUUGCCCACAGACUCAGAAUACGGUUCCCCGAGGACGAGGGCCUAUGCCGACCAAAGCAACCAAGCUAGUCGAGAAGACUCGCUGGACCAGCUGGAAGAGGCUCGGGACAUGACCUUACUACACUCGGCGCGGUACCAACAGUCCCUGCGACGCUACCACGCCCGAGGGGUCCGGUCCCGAGACCUCCAGGUGGGCGACCUGGUGCUUCGGCUGCGACAGGACGCCCGAGGGCGGCACAAGCUCACGCCUCCCUGGGAAGGGUCGUUCGUCAUCGCCAAAGUUCUGAAGCCCGGAACGUACAAGCUUGUCACACCCGGUUUUGGAAGGUAAACCGAAUGCGAACUAUGUACGUGCCAGGAUCAGAACUCACGUACACAGCGAUUACAUAAAUGAACAUCAUCACACAGUGCUCGAAUAACAACAUAAAGGGGUAUUAACUUAUUACAUCACAGAGUCAUAGACAUCCACAUAAUCAUCAACUUAACUGCUAAAUCAAAGUGCUAGCGAAACGCAGUAAAGGUAAGGCCUUCACAGGCAGCUGACUGGGGGUUGCCGCCAACCCACACCUAGAACUCGUCAUAAUCUUGGAAUUCCUGGAAGUCUCCUUCCACAGCUUCAUCUUCUCCUGAGCAGUGGUUGCAACGGGGACAACCUAGUGUUUUGUGGUAAAGCAAGGAUGAGUACACAUCAACGUACUCAGCAAAUGCCCCGUUUGGCUGAAGUGGACUAGCUUUAUGUGGAGUUAGGCUCAAGCAGUUGCUUUUAGUUGGUCAGGUAUUUAUUGUUAGUAGAAGCCAGAUUUUAUCAUCAAGCCCAAGUUAUAGACCCAAACGUACUUCCUCCGAGAGGAAAUACCAAAAUGCAUAAUUAAAGUCACCAUCAUUAACCAUCAACAUUAAAGUCAUCAUCCAAAGUGUAUCCGGAGUAUCUCUAAUCAAAGAGGAUCCCAAGGCUGCUCUUAACCGUGAGCACGGCUGAUAUAUCAGUUUCACUACCCUCUGCAGAGGUCGCACACUUUACCCAUGAGUCGUGAUUCCCGUUCUGCCCGGAGAGAGCUACUCUCCAUUGACCACUACCUAGGUGGCCUGGCAGGGUAUCACUACAUAGCCUUUACAAAGAUUCCCUAGAGGUCAUAGCCGCCCAUUAGGUUUCUCCAGUUUGAUAAACACAGUACCCCUCCCCACAGGAGAGUGACUAACAAAAAAGCAAAACGAAAGAACCUCGGCACUCAGCCUCGGCAGAGCAAGCACUGUGCCUGGACCCCAUUGACGGCACGACGGCGAAGCAACUACACCUCUAGUUCCUCUAAUUAAUUAGCUAAGGGCGUCCCAUUUCACCCUCAUGGUUGCACUGUUAUCCCGGGUGGUCUCUCAACGAACAGGUCCUUACGGAGAGGUACUCAGGAAACAGCCUGAGCCCCCUAGAGUAUCACAAGAUCAUCAAUAUCAUCAGGAUAACAGUAUCGUAUCAUAAAUAGUCACAUCAUGUUCAUUGAUUAGGUUGAGGCAAUAGCAAAAUGCUAACCAUAAUAACCCAAAAGGUCAUCAAGGAUAAGGUAAAGUAUAAAGCUAGUCAAUCCUUAGGUUUCAAUUAAGUAAUGCGGGAAAGUGAAUUAUAAGUGAAUAGGACAUAAUGGGUCAGAGGACACUUGCCUUCACCAAACUGCUGAUCAGGGACUUCUUCUGCCACUUCCUCGGGAAACACAGACUGCCCGUUGUCUACGUAAAGUAAUCAUUCACACUAUGCACUUGGGAAAUAACAAACAAAAACAGUAAACCAAGCAUAUGCAGCAGAGAGAUCACAAGUUCACAGUAGAAAAGGAUUGGCAAUCUGGUGUUCCCUAGGUCUGGGGUAGAUGACUAUACAAAAUGAUUCAUUAUCCACUAAUCAGGUCUAAGUCAGUGGGGGGGGGGGGGUUAAAUCAUUACAUGGUGUUAAGUCCAUAAACUUAGGUGCUCCAACUUUUAUUAAAAUCUUCUAUCUUUUAUUUAUCUCAAAUAGGGGUUCCAAUAACAUUAGUUUUACCCUAAUGAUCAACUAUUAAUUGGGACAUAAAAACAGCAGGGAAACAUUGUUUAAAUAGAUAGAUAAAAAUAUUGUGAGCAUUUUGCAAUUUGAAGCACCUAAUUUGGAGUUCAUAUGACAAAGUUAUGAAUUUUACAAGAUUAGGGAUUAAAAAUAUGCCUUGAAUACUUAUUUUGGAUUAAAUAAAAGGUCCGAGGACCUAACUGCUAAGAUCCACGGACGGCGGGUUAAUUUGCUGAAAGCCGGGGGUCUCUUUAAGAAAAAGCGCAGGCGAAAGGGUAUCGGGCUUCUACGGCCGUUGGAUCUCGGAUCAACGCCCGAGAUUAGAUCCGCGGGCAGGCGCGCGAGCGCGCGGCGGCCUGAGCGGCUGACAGGCGGGGCCAGGCGGGCAGCGCGGGCGCGGACGGCUGACAGGCGGGGCCAGGCGGGCAGCGCGGGCACGGACAGCUGACAGGCGGGGCCCAAAUGGCAGAAAGGCAGGGUGAGGGGGGGGGGGGGAAACAGCCCUGGGCCGUUGGAUCUUAGGCGAACGGCUAGGGUUGGGCUCGGCCUAAUUGAAACAGGGCCGUUCGAUCUGGAAUGGACGGCGGGGAUUGGGUGGCCGGCUUCUGUCUUCUCCUACGGCUAGCAGAGGCGGCGGCGCCCGCUCCCGCGGCGGAGGACUCGCCGGAGACGAGGGGCGCGGGGGCUCUGCGGGUCCUUGGGGCGACCUGGGUGGCCGAGGAGGUCGGGGAGAGCGUGGGGAACCUUCCGGUGGGGACUGGGUCAGGGCAGGGGCACCGGAGGGGGCGGCCCACGACGAAGCGGCUCGGCGGUGGCGCUAAAGGACUCCGGCGAGCAAUUAAACGCGACGGGGGGCAAUAAAAAGGUCGGAAGGGGGCGGGAGAGGUUCCUUACCUCAAGGCGAACUCCGGGGACCCCUCGAUGGCGACGGAGACGCGGCGGCAGCCCGAGUCGACGGUGGCGGACCUCGGUGGCUGCGCAGAGAACGGCGGUGAGCGUAGGCAGAGGGAUUCGGAGAGGGAGAGGGGAAAUUGGGGCGCGUCCCGGGUUGCGGACGUCGGGGCGGAGCUCACCGUGGCAGAAGGCACAGCGGGGCUCCAACGGCGGCGGAGAAACGAGCUCGGGCGGCGAUGGUUUAAUGGCGGCGGCGCUCUGGCAUGUGCGCAGCGUGGGGGAGGUGGAAGAGGGGUCUGCAGGUGCGCAAAUGAGGGAGGGGGAGAGGGCGAGCGAGGUUCUAGGCUCAAGUGGCCGAGGCAAGGUGGUUGCGAGCUCCACGCGCGACGUGGGCGCGGAGUCUGCGGCACGCACGGCUCGGGGCGGCGGUUACGCGGAGACGGAGGAGCUGACAGCCGGGGCCCGCGGGCAGAGAGAGCGGGGGAAGCGGGCGCGGACGCGGGGAAAGCGGCUGCGCUGACGGGCGGGCCCGCCAGGGCAGAGAGAGGAGAGGGGGGAAGGAAGGCGCGCGCGCGGGAUGGGCCUGAUGGGCCGAAAGGCCGAGGGGGCGGGGGAAGUGGGCUUCUUUCCUUUUUCUUUUAUUCUGGCAUUUGUUUUCCCUUUUCCUUUUAUUUAUUCUAUUUGAUUCAAAUCCAAAUAGGCCACAAAUUCAAAUUAGCAUUUCCAAGUAUUAUGCACCAAACAAAAAUGAAAUCUAGGGUUCAACAUGAUGCAACAUUUCAUACUCCCUUGGAGUUUAGCCUACUAGUUUAUAAUUACAAAUAAAAAUAACCACUCUUCUUCUAUAGAAAAGAGAAAGAGGAGGUUGGGGAAAGGUGUGAGAAGAGAAAUAACACCUGAAUUUGUGAAUAUGAGCAAAGAAAUUUUAUACCCCCAAAUUCAGGGUGUUACAAACCUAUCCCCUUAAGAGAAUCUCGCCCCGAGAUUCAAGGUUGGUCAGCAAAGAGUUCAGGGUAUUUGGCCUUCAGAUCAUCUUCUCGUUCCCAGGUUGCUUCUUCCUCAGAGUGGUGGCCCCAUCUGACUUUGCACAUUCUGAUGGUGUUUCUUCGGGUGACUCUGUCUGCAAACUCCAGAAUCUGCGUUGGCUUCUCUACGUAGGUCAGAUCCUCUUGGACUUCCAAGUCCUCCACGGGCAACUGUUCUUCUGGUACUCGCAGACACUUCUUCAAUUGCGACACGUGGAACACAUUGUGCACUGCUGACAAACUUUCUGGUAGGUUGAGUUGAUAGGCCACUUCUCACGCUUUGCUUGAAUCUGAUAUGGUCCAACAUACCGGGGUGCUAACUUGCCUUUAACUCCGAACCUUCUGACUCCUCUGAUAGGUGACACCUUCAGAUAGACGUAAUCUCCCACUUCGAAACUCAAUUCCCUUCUCCUUCUGUCAGCAUAGCUUCGCUGUCUUGAUUGUGCUAUCUUCAGAUUCUCCCGAACCAUUUUGAUAUUCUCUUCGGCUUCAAGCAAGAUGUCGGGGCCAAACACCUGUCUCUCUCCAGGCUGGUCCCAAUGCAGCGGAGUCCUACAACUCCGUCCAUAGAGUGCCUGAAACGGUGACAUCUUCAAGCUGGCUUGGUAACUAUUGUUGUAGGAGAAUUCUGCAUAAGGUAACCUUUUGUCCCAUCCUGACUUGUCUUGCAACGCACAGGCUCUCAGCAUAUCUUCUAGGAUCUGAUUUGUCCUCUCAGUCUGACCGUCUGUCUGUGGGUGAUAAGUCGAGCUGAAGUUCAAGUGUGUACCCAAAGCUUCUUGUAGCUACUGCCAAAAAUGAGAGGUGAACUGUGUUCCUCGAUCUGACACUAUCUUCUUCAGCAUACCAUGAAGGCAGACUAUCCGUGACAUGUAUAACUCAGCUAACGUUGCUCCAGUGUAUGUUGUCUUCACGGGUAUGAAAUGGGCCACCUUUGUUAAGCGGUCCACAACCACCCAGAUGGAAUCAUAGCCGGCCCGGGUACGAGGUAAGCCAACUAUAAAAUCCAUCCCGAUCUCAUCCCACUGCCACUGAGGAAUCCGCAAUGGCUGCAACAAUCCGGCGGGCCUCUGAUGCUCUGCUUUGGUUCUUUGACAGCUAUCACAGAUGGCGACAUAUUCUGCGAUCUCUCUUUUCAUGCCAUACCACCAAAACCUCCUUUUUAAAUCCUGAUACAUCUUCUCACUUCCAGGGUGUAUGGAGUAGGCUGUCUCAUGAGCUUCCUUGAGGAUCAGCUCCCGAAUAGGUUUGAGGUCGGGAACACACAAUCGGUCCUUGAACCAUAUCGCUCCCUUAUCAUCCUCUCGAAAGUCUCUGCCUCUUCCUUCUAAGAUCAGCUGCCGGAUCUUGUUGAUGUCUUCAUCAUCCUUCUGCCCUUCUUUGAUCUCCCUCUCUAGGGUGGGCUCUAAUUCCACUAUUACUCCUUGGGUACUGUUCAGAAAACCAAGACUCGGUCUAUCGAACUCCUUGGCCAACUCAUACGGCAUUGGGUACGUGGCCAUCAUAUUAACUUGACUCUUCCUGCUUAGAGCAUCUGCAACAACAUUGGCUUUGCUUGGAUGGUAAUGUAUCUCCAACUCAUAGUCUUUGAUCAAUUCCAACCAUCUUCGCUGUCUCAUGUUUAACUCUGACUGGGUGAAUAUAUACUUCAGACUUUUAUGACCUGUGUAGAUGUCGCACUUCUGCCCAUACAGGUAAUGUCUCCAUGUCUUUAACGCAUGAACCACUGCUGCCAACUCCAGGUCGUGCGUGGGGUAAUUUUUCUCAUGGAUCUUCAGCUGUCGACAUGAGUAUGCUACAACUCUUCCUUCUUGCAUUAGCACACAUCCCAAUCCGGUGUAAGAAGCAUCGCAGUACACCGAGAAUGGCUUGUGAACAUCAGGCAGAACUAACACAGGUGCUGUAGUCAAUCUAUUCUUCAGUUCUUCAAAUGCUUCUUGACACUUUUGGGUCCACUUAAACUCAACUUUCUUCGCUAGUAAUGCUGUCAUUGGUCUAGCAAUCUUUGAAAAGCCUUCAAUGAAACGCCUGUAGUAUCCGGCCAUUCCAAUGAAGCUCUUGAUCCCACGAACAUCCUUCGGUGCUUUCCAGUUCAUGAUAUCUGCUACUUUCUUUGGAUCCACUGCUAACCCAUCUUGGUUUAUGAUGUGACCCAGAAACAGGACUUCAUGAAUCCAGAACUCGCAUUUACUCAGCUUGGCAUACAACUGAUGCUCUCGAAGCCUUUGCAAUACCAUCUUCAAAUGCUCCACAUGAUCUUCCUCACUUUGAGAGUAUAUGAGAAUAUCAUCGAUGAACACUACCACAAACUUGUCUAGAUAGUCCAUGAACACGCUGCUCAUCAGAUACAUAAAGAAGGCUGGCACAUUUGUCAAACCAAAGGACAUAACUGUGAACUCAUACAACCCAUACUUGGUGAUGAAUGUUGUCUUCGGUAUGUUCGAGGGUCGGAUUCUGAGUUGAUGGUAACCUGAUCUCAGAUCUAUCUUCGAGAAUACGCUGGCACCUCUGAGCUGGUCAAACAGAUCUUCUAUUCUUGGCAGGGGGUACUUGUUCUUAACAGUGACUUCAUUCAGGGCUCUGUAAUCUAUGCACAUCCUUUUGGUACCAUCUUUCUUCUCUACAAACAAUACUGGAGCGGCCCAGGGCGAGGUGCUUGGUCUGAUGUAACCCUUCUCUAACAUCUCAUCUAUCUGCUUCUUGAGUUCCACCAAUUCUGGUCCAGACACUCGAUAGGCCCUUUUAGAAAUGGGGGUGGUACCAGAGAUAAGCUCUAUGGCAAAUUCGACUUUUCUCUCGGGUGGCAUGCCCGUUAGCUCCUCGGGAAACACAUCCGGAAAGUCCGACACAACCUUGAUAGCCUCGAGCGGGUUGGUCUCCUUACUAUCAACUGAAAUCUGGUGACAAAUUCCCUCCGCUGAUUUAGGCAUCUUUAGCUCAGCCACUACCUCCUCUCCGGACGGGGACUUCAAUGUUACGGUCCUCUUGUCACAGCUGACAUUCGCUUCAUACUUCAUUAACCAAUUCAUCCCUAGGAUGACAUCUACCCCAGGGGUGUCUAUUACUAUUAGGUCGCUAGGGAACCCCAUCCCCUUUAUUUCCACCCUUAUAUUUGAGCAUAUUUUAUCUGUUUGCACCUUGCCACCAACCGAAUUAAUCCUCAUGGGCGGCAUCAUUGCCUCUACUAAGAUGUUAUGCAUUUCUACCCAUAUUGCAGUGACAAAUGAAUGAGUUGCACCAGUAUCAAAUAGCACUUUUGAGGGAUAAGAUUCGACUGAGAACAUACCUACUGCCACAUCUGGUGCAUCCUGGAUCACUUCGGCCUCCAAGUGGUUCACCUUUCCACGGUUGUACGCUUGGCCACGAUUGCCUGCUGCCUGCUGCAGUACACCUUGCCUUGUUGGAGCAUUGGGGUUGGUCUGCUGCUGCGCCAUCUUCUUUGGGCACUGCAUCGCCCAGUGGCCUUGUUCUCCAUAGUGGAAACAUCCUCUGCCUCCUCCUUGUGUUGGGGCUGCUUGGUUGCUCUGAUUUGCUGCGGGGCAGGAAGGCGAGGUGUCUGGUUGUUCUACUUCUGAUACUGAUUCCCUCCUUGCUGGCUGUUCUGACGAUACUGCUGCUGUUGUGGGUACUGCCUCUGAAACUGCUGCUGAUGCGGACGCUGAUUCUGAUUCUGAUAUCCCUGUGGGUGACCAGGCCUGCCUUGCUGAGAUGAACUGCCUGAGAAGCGGGGACGGCUGAUGCUCCUGGGCUGGGGCCCACUCAUCUUGCGCUUCCGAUCUUCCAUAUCCUUACGCUUCUUCUCAGUCAUAACUGCCCUAUCGAUCAGAUGCUGGAAGGUGGGGAAGGUGUGGUUCAUCAGCUGGUAGUGCAGGGGAUCCACCAAACCCCUCAUGAACCUGUACUGCCUUUUAGCAUCAGUGUUGACAUCUUCAGGUGCAUAACGAGACAGCUGCAGAAACUUGUCUCUGUAUUCACUAACAGAUAGGGGUCCCUGCUUCAGAGCCAGAAACUCCUCCUUCUUCACGAUCAUCAGUCCCUCUGGCACAUGGUACCUGCGGAAACUCUCGCUGAACUCUUCCCAGGUGAUGGCUUUGGGGUCAACAUGGGUAGCGAGGUAGGACUCCCACCAGGACUGGGCUGCUCCCCUUAGCUGGCGGGGACCAUACAGAACCUUCUCCCUAUCAUCACAUUGGGCGGUGCGCAGUUCCCUUUCCACUGCGCGCAGCCAGUCUUCUGCAUCCAUGGGAUCAGCAGAAUGGGCGAAGGUAGGAGGGUGCCCUCUCAUGAACUCGCCACGCUUAUCCCGUGGCAUCUGGGGCAUCUGCACUUGCAACUGGGGUUGGGGUUGCUGUUGAGCCUGCUGCAUGGCGGCGGGUCUGCCCAAUGGCCUGCACUGCCUGAGUCUACAUCAAGAACAUCUGCUCCACAGUCAUCGGGGGUGGUGGGGGAGGCUGCCUCUGGUGUUCCUCCUGCUGGGCAUGCUGCUCUGCUGAGCACGCCUGUUGCAUCGGCGCCUGUUGUCAGACAUCUGUGGAAGACAUUCAUACAUCAGCAUUGAUCUUACAAUCCUUCAGCAUAAGAAAAGGGAAUACAGAAUUCUUCAUGACACUGAGUGAACAAAGAGCUUCACUGAUCCUCAUUAUGAUUCAACACAACUUCUCAGAUAGAAAGGAAAGUAGAAGUAAAUGGUUUCCCAACUAAAUAACUGAUUUCAUUAAUAUCACUAGCUAAGCCAAACUGCAGGGGAAACCCACAGGUUGGCAACAGUCAUUACAAAGAUUCGAAUCUAGUACAAGUUCAUCAUAACAAGCAUGUAAGCAACUGAUAAGCAAACUAAACUGAAUGGAAGCAACUGGUAAGCAAACUAAACUGAAGGGAAGCAACUGAUAAGCAAACUAAACUAACUAUCUAAGACUGAGACAUCUGACUUAAGGAUUAUCACAAACUUCGACGCUACCGAUCUAAGGAUCCAGAUCUAUCCCGGUCUUACAGGCAGGGGAACCAUAAGUGUGGUGACCACGUGGCGGCGAGCGGUAAGGGUGCUGAGUCCCAACAGGAGCGGGGGAACCACCCUCCUGGUGGCGGCGCUCUGCAAGCUCAGCAUGCAACUCAGCAAUCUCCAUUCGAGCCCUGCUUAGCUCGUCCAGAGAGUGAUCCAGCUCGGUGUUAAGCACUGCGACUAGGUUGACUGUGCUGCUCAACCUAGGGUUAUCCUCACCAACAGGUGAGACAACCACACUCUCUGUGCUACCAGUAGAACGACGGGGGUAGUACCGAAGGUUAAGACCGUCGGCCACCCCACCGAACAAGGAACAGUACUGGGAGAGUGCACGUCGUGCUGCAUCCUGCAUAGCGCCUCUGCAGUGUCCCCUUUGGAGAUGGAGUAGUGCUCCGAAACGGCCUCCGCACCCCGGAGGUCAUCCUCCGGACGGCGAACUAGGCAGGUAGCCUCCCAGCGGUCCGGGUACCUCCCGCGACUGUGCUGGUAGACUACACAACGAUACUCGAUCGACCAGGUGUGCCUGUCGAAAGCCUGGCGCAGCAAGGUGUCGAGUGCGUCGUGGAAAGUGACAACCGCGAGCGGCGUCACGGGUGAUGGGUCGGGCGACCCAACCUUCCGCCUCCUGCGGCUCAGAGGACUCCGUGCGUGGUCUGAGUCGUCGUCGUCGGGGUCUCCUCCAGGACCUCCUCCAGUAGCUCCUCCAACAGCCGGGGCGUCCCGCGGUGGUGCAGGGGGUGCCUCCAGCUGGGCAACAGAGGAACGGCGCCUCACGGACUCCACCUCCUGCUGAGGUGGGGAGGAAGAGCCCUGCUGUCUCUGUGCUGACGCCGGCGUUCCUGCUCCUCACGCAGGCGGUGGUGCAGUCUCUCCAGGUGACUCGACUGACCGGACACGGUGCGGCGCAGAGGACGCUCCACAAGUCGAGACGGCAGGAAAGGAAUCACCGACUUACGUGCAGUGUGUCUAAGACGAGCCAUCUACAAAAGACACCGUAAGCACAAGAGUAAGAACAGAACUAAUAUGACAAGUGCAUAAACCAUAGACAGAACAAGAUAAAAAUUUUAACAAGGUAUAAUAUAGUAUAUAUAUGGUAGUAAAACAUAGGGUUGGUCGAGGUGACCGAUUUUUGAAGUAACAUCAGAGGUCAAGGUGAGAGGGAAGGUCAUAGUCCUUAGUUUCGACCAGUGCUACUCUAGGUUAGCGGUCCUACAGUCAGCACGGCUUUGGAUACCACUUAUGUCACACCCGGUUUUGGAAGGUAAACCGAAUGCGAACUAUGUACGUGCCAGGAUCAGAACUCACGUACACAGCGAUUACAUAAAUGAACAUCAUCACACAGUGCUCGAAUAACAACAUAAAGGGGUAUAACUUAUUUACAUCACAGAGUCAUAGACAUCCACAUAAUCAUCAACUUAACUGCUAAAUCAAAGUGCUAGCGAAACGCAGUAAAGGUAAGGCCUUCACAGGCAGCUGACUGGGGGUUGCCCGCCAACCCACACCUAGAACUCGUCAUAAUCUUGGAAUUCCUGGAAGUCUCCUUCCACAGCUUCAUCUUCUCCUAAGCAGUGGUUUGCAACAGGGACAACCUGGUGUUUUGUGGUAAAGCAAGGAUGAGUACACAUCAACGUACUCAGCAAAUGCCCCGUUUGGCUGAAGUGGACUAGCUUAUGUGGAGUUAAGCUCAAGCAGUUGAUUUUAGUUGGUCAGGUAUUUAUUGUUAGUAGAAGCCAGAUUUUAUCAUCAAGCCAAGUUAUAGACCCAAACGUACUUCCUCCGAGAGGAAAUACCAAAAUGCAUAAUUAAAGUCACCAUCAUUAACCAUCAACAUUAAAGUAAUCAUCCAAAGUGUAUCCGGGGUAUCUCUAAUCAAAGAGAGAUCCCAAGGCUGCUCUUAACCGUGAGCACGGCUGAUAUAUCAAUUUCACUACCCUCUGCAGAGGUCGCACACUUUACCCAUGAGUCGUGAUUCCCGUUCUGCCCGGAGAGAGCUACUCUCCAUUGACCACUACCUAGUGGCCUGGCAGGGUAUCACUACGUAGCCUUUACAAAGAUUCCCUAGAGGUCAUAGCCGCCCGUUAGGUUUCUCCAGUUUGAUUAAACACAGUACCCCUCCCCACAGGAGAGUGACUAACAAAAAAGCAAAACGAAAGAACCUCGGCACUCAGCCUCGGUAGAGCAAGCACUGUGCCUGGACCCCAUUGACGGCACGACGGCGAAGCAACACUACACCUCUAGUUCCUCUAAUUAAUUAGCUAAGGGCUUCUCAUUUCACCCUCAUGGUUGCACUGUUAUUCCCGGGUGGUCUCUCAACGAAUAGGUCCUUACGGAGAGGUACUCCAGAAACAGCCUGAGCCCCCUAGAGUAUCACAAGAUCAUCAAUAUCAUCAGGAUAACAGUAUCGUAUCAUAAAUUAGUCACAUCAUGUUCAUUGAUUAGGUUGAGGCAAUUAGCAAAAUGCUAACCAUAAUAACCCAAAAGGUCAUCAAGGAUAAGGUAAAGGUAUAAAGCUAGUCAAUCCUUAGGUUUCAAUUAAGUAAUGCGGGAAAGUGAAUUAUAAGUGAAUAGGACAUAAUGGGUCAGAGGACACUUGCCUUCACCAAACUGCUGAUCAGGGACUUCUUCUGCCACUUCCUCGGGAAACACAGACUGCCCGUUGUCUACGUAAAGUAAUCAUUCACACUAUGCACUUGGGAAAUUAACAAACAAAAACAGUAAACCAAGCAUAUGCAGCAGAGAGAUCACAAGUUCACAGUAGAAAAGGAUGGCAAUCUGGUGUUCCCUAGGUCUGGGGUAGAUGACUAUACAAAAUGAUUCAUUAUCCACUAAUCAGGUCUAAGUCAGUGGUGGGGUUAAAUCAUUACAUGGUGUUAAGUCCAUAAACUAGGGUGCUCCAACUUUUAUUAAAAUCUUCUAUCUUUUAUUUAUCUCAAAUAGGGGUUCCAAUAACAUUAGUUUUACCCUAAUGAUCAACUAUUAAUUGGGACAUAAAAACAGCAGGGAAACAUUGUUAAAUAGAUAGAUAAAAAUAUUGUGAGCAUUUUGCAAUUUGAAGCACCUAAUUGGAGUUCAUAUGACAAAGUUAUGAAUUUUAACAAGAUUAGGGAUUAAAAAUAUGCCUGAAUACUUAUUUUGGAUUAAAUAAAAGGUCCGAGGACCUAACUGCUAAGAUCCAGGGACGGCGGGUUAAUUUGCAGAAAGCCGGGUGUCUCUUUAAGAAAAAGCGCAGGCGANNNNNNNNNNNNNNNNNNNNNNNNNNNNNNNNNNNNNNNNNNNNNNNNNNNNNNNNNNNNNNNNNNNNNNNNNNNNNNNNNNNNNNNNNNNNNNNNNNNNUCGUCUUGCUGGGAGAUGGGAAGGAGCUCUACCACGUGCCCCUCAGGCAUCCUCAGCGAUGCAUUCCAUCGCCGAAGGCCAAGGAGCUCCUACAAGAUACACUCGAGGGCUUACGGCAUCACGCAGCAUUCGAGCCCUUGUUGGAAACGCCUUCCGACAAGGUUUCUCUACUUGCCGAUCGCGGUUGCUGACAACUAGAAUUGUCCGCACCUGCGAAGGGUGUCAGUUCUAGCGAGGAGACCCACCUGCCGCUAGGCUCUGCAGACGAUACCCAUCAUGACUUUUGCUAUGUGGGGUCUGGACCCGUCGGCCCUUGCAAGAAGGCACCCGGGGGCUACAACGCACCUGUUGGUCGCCAUCGACAAUUCUUCCAAGUGGAUCGAGGUCCGACCCCUAAACAGCAUCAGGUCGAACAGGCGGUGGCGUUCUUCACCACAUCAUCCUCGUUUGGGGUCCCGAACUCCAUCAUCACCGACACCGGACCAGUUCACCGAGAAAGUUCCUGGACUUCUGCGAGGAUCACGCAUCCGGGUGGACUGGGCAGCGUGGCACACCCCAUGACGAUGGGCAUAGAGCGUGCCAAUGGCAUGAUUCUACAAGGACUCAAGCCUCGGAUCUACAAUGACCUCAACAAGUUCGGCAAGCGAUGGAUGAAGGAACUCCCCUCGGUGGUCUGGAGCCUGAGGACAACGCCGAGCCGAGCCACAGGCUUCACGCCGUUCUUUCUAGUCUAUGGGGCCGAGGCCAUCUUGCCCACAGACUCAGAAUACGGUUCCCCGAGGACGAGGGCCUAUGCCGACCAAAGCAACCAAGCUAGUCGAGAAGACUCGCUGGACCAGCUGGAAGAGGCUCGGGACAUGACCUUACUACACUCGCGCGGUACCAACAGUCCCUGCGACGCUACCACGCCCGAGGGGUCCGGUCCCGGAACCUCCAGGUGGGCGACCUGGUGCUUCGGCUGCGGACAGGACGCCCGAGGGCGGCACAAGCUCACGCCUCCCUGGGAAGGGUCGUUCGUCAUCGCCAAAGUUCUGAAGCCGGAACGUACAAGCUUGUCACACCCGGUUUUGGAAGGUAAACCGGAAUGCGAACUAUGUACGUGCCAGGAUCAGAACUCACGUACACAGCGAUUACAUAAAUGAACAUCAUCACACAGUGCUCGAAUAACAACAUAAAGGGUAUUAACUUAUUACAUCACAGAGUCAUAGACAUCCACAUAAUCAUCAACUUAACUGCUAAAUCAAAGUGCUAGCGAAACGCAGUAAAGGUAAGGCCUUCACAGGCAGCUGACUGGGGGUUGCCGCCAACCCACACCUAGAACUCGUCAUAAUCUUGGAAUUCCUGGAAGUCUCCUUCCACAGCUUCAUCUUCUCCUGAGCAGUGGUUGCAACGGGGACAACCUAGUGUUUUGUGGUAAAGCAAGGAUGAGUACACAUCAACGUACUCAGCAAAUGCCCCGUUUGGCUGAAGUGGACUAGCUUUAUGUGGAGUUAGGCUCAAGCAGUUGCUUUUAGUUGGUCAGGUAUUUAUUGUUAGUAAAGCCAGAUUUUAUCAUCAAGCCCAAGUUAUAGACCCAAACGUACUUCCUCCGAGAGGAAAUACCAAAAUGCAUAAUUAAAGUCACCAUCAUAACCAUCAACAUUAAAGUCAUCAUCCAAAGUGUAUCCGGAGUAUCUCUAAUCAAGAGGAUCCCAAGGCUGCUCUUAACCGUGAGCACGGCUGAUAUAUAUCAGUUUCACUACCCUCUGCAGAGGUCGCACAUUUACCCAUGAGUCGUGAUUCCCGUUCUGCCCGGAGAGAGCUACUCUCCAUUGACCACUACUAGGUGGCCUGGCAGGGUAUCACUACAUAGCCUUUACAAAGAUUCCCUAGAGUCAUAGCCGCCCAUUAGGUUUCUCCAGUUUGAUAAACACAGUACCCUCCCCACAGGGAGUGACUAACAAAAAAAGCAAACGAAAGAACCUCGGCACUCAGCCUCGGCAGAGCAGCACUGUGCCUGGACCCCAUUGACGGCACGACGGCGAAGCAACUACACCUCUAGUUCCUCUAAUUAAUUUAGCUAAGGGCGUCCCAUUUCACCCUCAUGGUUGCACUGUUAUCCCGGGUGGUCUCUCAACGAACAGGUCCUUACGGAGAGGUACUCAGGAAACAGCCUGAGCCCCCUAGAGUAUCACAAGAUCAUCAAUAUCAUCAGGAUAACAGUAUCGUAUCAUAAAUAGUCACAUCAUGUUCAUUGAUUAGGUUGAGGCAAUAGCAAAAUGCUAACCAUAAUAACCCAAAAGUCAUCAAGGAUAAGGUAAAGUAUAAAGCUAGUCAAUCCUUAGGUUUCAAUUAAGUAAUGCGGGAAAGUGAAUUAUAAGUGAAUAGGACAUAAUGGGUCAGAGGACACUUGCCUUCACCAAACUGCUGAUCAGGGACUUCUUCUGCCACUUCCUCGGAAACACAGACUGCCCGUUGUCUACGUAAAGUAAUCAUUCACACUAUGCACUUGGGAAAUAACAAACAAAAACAGUAAACCAAGCAUAUGCAGCAGAGAGAUCACAAGUUCACAGUAGAAAAGGAUUGGCAAUCUGUGUUCCCUAGGUCUGGGGUAGAUGACUAUACAAAAUGAUUCAUUAUCCACUAAUCAGGUCUAAGUCAGUGGGGGGGGGGGGGUUAAAUCAUUACAUGGUGUUAAGUCCAUAAACUUAGGUGCUCCAACUUUUAUUAAAAUCUUCUAUCUUUUAUUAUCUCAAAUAGGGGUUCCAAUAACAUUAGUUUUACCCUAAUGAUCAACUAUUAAUUGGGACAUAAAAACAGCAGGGAAACAUUGUUUAAAUAGAUAGAUAAAAAUAUUGUGAGCAUUUUGCAAUUUGAAGCACCUAAUUUGGAGUUCAUAUGACAAAGUUAUGAAUUUUACAAGAUUAGGGAUUAAAAAUAUGCCUUGAAUACUUAUUUUGGAUUUAAAUAAAAGGUCCGAGGACCUAACUGCUAAGAUCCACGGACGGCGGGUUAAUUUGCUGAAAGCCGGGGGUCUCUUUAAGAAAAAGCGCAGGCGAAAGGGUAUCGGGCUUCUACGGCCGUUGGAUCUCGGAUCAACGCCCGAGAUUAGAUCCGCGGGCAGGCGCGCGAGCGCGCGGCGGCCUGAGCGGCUGACAGGCGGGGCCAGGCGGCAGCGCGGGCGCGGACGGCUGACAGGCGGGGCCAGGCGGGCAGCGCGGGCACGGACAGCUGACAGGCGGGGCCCAAAUGGCAGAAAGGCAGGGUGAGGGGGGGGGGGGAAACAGCCCUGGGCCGUUGGAUCUUAGGCGAACGGCUAGGGUUGGGCUCGGCCUAAUUGAAACAGGGCCGUUCGAUCUGGAAUGGACGGCGGGGAUUGGGUGGCCGGCUUCUGUCUUCUCCUACGGCUAGCAGAGGCGGCGGCGCCCGCUCCCGCGGCGGAGGACUCGCCGGAGACGAGGGGCGCGGGGGCUCUGCGGGUCCUUGGGGCGACCUGGGUGGCCGAGGAGGUCGGGGAGAGCGUGGGGAACCUUCCGGUGGGGACUGGGUCAGGGCAGGGGCACCGGAGGGGGCGGCCCACGACGAAGCGGCUCGGCGGUGGCGCUAAAGGACUCCGGCGAGCAAUUAAACGCGACGGGGGGCAAUAAAAAGGUCGGAAGGGGGCGGGAGAGGUUCCUUACCUCAAGGCGAACUCCGGGGACCCCUCGAUGGCGACGGAGACGCGGCGGCAGCCCGAGUCGACGGUGGCGGACCUCGGUGGCUGCGCAGAGAACGGCGGUGAGCGUAGGCAGAGGGAUUCGGAGAGGGAGAGGGGAAAUUGGGGCGCGUCCCGGGUUGCGGACGUCGGGGCGGAGCUCACCGUGGCAGAAGGCACAGCGGGGCUCCAACGGCGGCGGAGAAACGAGCUCGGGCGGCGAUGGUUUAAUGGCGGCGGCGCUCUGGCAUGUGCGCAGCGUGGGGGAGGUGGAAGAGGGGUCUGCAGGUGCGCAAAUGAGGGAGGGGGAGAGGGCGAGCGAGGUUCUAGGCUCAAGUGGCCGAGGCAAGGUGGUUGCGAGCUCCACGCGCGACGUGGGCGCGGAGUCUGCGGCACGCACGGCUCGGGGCGGCGGUUACGCGGAGACGGAGGAGCUGACAGCCGGGGCCCGCGGGCAGAGAGAGCGGGGGAAGCGGGCGCGGACGCGGGGAAAGCGGCUGCGCUGACGGGCGGGCCGCCAGGGCAGAGAGAGGAGAGGGGGGAAGGAAGGCGCGCGCGCGGGAUGGGCCUGAUGGGCCGAAAGGCCGAGGGGGCGGGGGAAGUGGGCUUCUUUCCUUUUUCUUUUAUUCUGGCAUUUGUUUUCCCUUUUCCUUUUAUUUAUUCUAUUUGAUUCAAAUCCAAAUAGGCCACAAAUUCAAAUUAGCAUUUCCAAGUAUUAUGCACCAAACAAAAAUGAAAUCUAGGGUUCAACAUGAUGCAACAUUUCAUACUCCCUUGGAGUUUAGCCUACUAGUUUAUAAUUACAAAUAAAAAUAACCACUCUUCUUCUAUAGAAAAGAGAAAGAGGAGGUUGGGGAAAGGUGUGAGAAGAGAAAUAACACCUGAAUUUGUGAAUAUGAGCAAAGAAAUUUUAUACCCCCAAAUUCAGGGUGUUACAAACCUAUCCCCUUAAGAGAAUCUCGCCCCGAGAUUCAAGGUUGGUCAGCAAAGAGUUCAGGGUAUUUGGCCUUCAGAUCAUCUUCUCGUUCCCAGGUUGCUUCUUCCUCAGAGUGGUGGCCCCAUCUGACUUUGCACAUUCUGAUGGUGUUUCUUCGGGUGACUCUGUCUGCAAACUCCAGAAUCUGCGUUGGCUUCUCUACGUAGGUCAGAUCCUCUUGGACUUCCAAGUCCUCCACGGGCAACUGUUCUUCUGGUACUCGCAGACACUUCUUCAAUUGCGACACGUGGAACACAUUGUGCACUGCUGACAAACUUUCUGGUAGGUUGAGUUGAUAGGCCACUUCUCACGCUUUGCUUGAAUCUGAUAUGGUCCAACAUACCGGGGUGCUAACUUGCCUUUAACUCCGAACCUUCUGACUCCUCUGAUAGGUGACACCUUCAGAUAGACGUAAUCUCCCACUUCGAAACUCAAUUCCCUUCUCCUUCUGUCAGCAUAGCUUCGCUGUCUUGAUUGUGCUAUCUUCAGAUUCUCCCGAACCAUUUUGAUAUUCUCUUCGGCUUCAAGCAAGAUGUCGGGGCCAAACACCUGUCUCUCUCCAGGCUGGUCCCAAUGCAGCGGAGUCCUACAACUCCGUCCAUAGAGUGCCUGAAACGGUGACAUCUUCAAGCUGGCUUGGUAACUAUUGUUGUAGGAGAAUUCUGCAUAAGGUAACCUUUUGUCCCAUCCUGACUUGUCUUGCAACGCACAGGCUCUCAGCAUAUCUUCUAGGAUCUGAUUUGUCCUCUCAGUCUGACCGUCUGUCUGUGGGUGAUAAGUCGAGCUGAAGUUCAAGUGUGUACCCAAAGCUUCUUGUAGCUACUGCCAAAAAUGAGAGGUGAACUGUGUUCCUCGAUCUGACACUAUCUUCUUCAGCAUACCAUGAAGGCAGACUAUCCGUGACAUGUAUAACUCAGCUAACGUUGCUCCAGUGUAUGUUGUCUUCACGGGUAUGAAAUGGGCCACCUUUGUUAAGCGGUCCACAACCACCCAGAUGGAAUCAUAGCCGGCCCGGGUACGAGGUAAGCCAACUAUAAAAUCCAUCCCGAUCUCAUCCCACUGCCACUGAGGAAUCCGCAAUGGCUGCAACAAUCCGGCGGGCCUCUGAUGCUCUGCUUUGGUUCUUUGACAGCUAUCACAGAUGGCGACAUAUUCUGCGAUCUCUCUUUUCAUGCCAUACCACCAAAACCUCCUUUUUAAAUCCUGAUACAUCUUCUCACUUCCAGGGUGUAUGGAGUAGGCUGUCUCAUGAGCUUCCUUGAGGAUCAGCUCCCGAAUAGGUUUGAGGUCGGGAACACACAAUCGGUCCUUGAACCAUAUCGCUCCCUUAUCAUCCUCUCGAAAGUCUCUGCCUCUUCCUUCUAAGAUCAGCUGCCGGAUCUUGUUGAUGUCUUCAUCAUCCUUCUGCCCUUCUUUGAUCUCCCUCUCUAGGGUGGGCUCUAAUUCCACUAUUACUCCUUGGGUACUGUUCAGAAAACCAAGACUCGGUCUAUCGAACUCCUUGGCCAACUCAUACGGCAUUGGGUACGUGGCCAUCAUAUUAACUUGACUCUUCCUGCUUAGAGCAUCUGCAACAACAUUGGCUUUGCUUGGAUGGUAAUGUAUCUCCAACUCAUAGUCUUUGAUCAAUUCCAACCAUCUUCGCUGUCUCAUGUUUAACUCUGACUGGGUGAAUAUAUACUUCAGACUUUUAUGACCUGUGUAGAUGUCGCACUUCUGCCCAUACAGGUAAUGUCUCCAUGUCUUUAACGCAUGAACCACUGCUGCCAACUCCAGGUCGUGCGUGGGGUAAUUUUUCUCAUGGAUCUUCAGCUGUCGACAUGAGUAUGCUACAACUCUUCCUUCUUGCAUUAGCACACAUCCCAAUCCGGUGUAAGAAGCAUCGCAGUACACCGAGAAUGGCUUGUGAACAUCAGGCAGAACUAACACAGGUGCUGUAGUCAAUCUAUUCUUCAGUUCUUCAAAUGCUUCUUGACACUUUUGGGUCCACUUAAACUCAACUUUCUUCGCUAGUAAUGCUGUCAUUGGUCUAGCAAUCUUUGAAAAGCCUUCAAUGAAACGCCUGUAGUAUCCGGCCAUUCCAAUGAAGCUCUUGAUCCCACGAACAUCCUUCGGUGCUUUCCAGUUCAUGAUAUCUGCUACUUUCUUUGGAUCCACUGCUAACCCAUCUUGGUUUAUGAUGUGACCCAGAAACAGGACUUCAUGAAUCCAGAACUCGCAUUUACUCAGCUUGGCAUACAACUGAUGCUCUCGAAGCCUUUGCAAUACCAUCUUCAAAUGCUCCACAUGAUCUUCCUCACUUUGAGAGUAUAUGAGAAUAUCAUCGAUGAACACUACCACAAACUUGUCUAGAUAGUCCAUGAACACGCUGCUCAUCAGAUACAUAAAGAAGGCUGGCACAUUUGUCAAACCAAAGGACAUAACUGUGAACUCAUACAACCCAUACUUGGUGAUGAAUGUUGUCUUCGGUAUGUUCGAGGGUCGGAUUCUGAGUUGAUGGUAACCUGAUCUCAGAUCUAUCUUCGAGAAUACGCUGGCACCUCUGAGCUGGUCAAACAGAUCUUCUAUUCUUGGCAGGGGGUACUUGUUCUUAACAGUGACUUCAUUCAGGGCUCUGUAAUCUAUGCACAUCCUUUUGGUACCAUCUUUCUUCUCUACAAACAAUACUGGAGCGGCCCAGGGCGAGGUGCUUGGUCUGAUGUAACCCUUCUCUAACAUCUCAUCUAUCUGCUUCUUGAGUUCCACCAAUUCUGGUCCAGACACUCGAUAGGCCCUUUUAGAAAUGGGGGUGGUACCAGAGAUAAGCUCUAUGGCAAAUUCGACUUUUCUCUCGGGUGGCAUGCCCGUUAGCUCCUCGGGAAACACAUCCGGAAAGUCCGACACAACCUUGAUAGCCUCGAGCGGGUUGGUCUCCUUACUAUCAACUGAAAUCUGGUGACAAAUUCCCUCCGCUGAUUUAGGCAUCUUUAGCUCAGCCACUACCUCCUCUCCGGACGGGGACUUCAAUGUUACGGUCCUCUUGUCACAGCUGACAUUCGCUUCAUACUUCAUUAACCAAUUCAUCCCUAGGAUGACAUCUACCCCAGGGGUGUCUAUUACUAUUAGGUCGCUAGGGAACCCCAUCCCCUUUAUUUCCACCCUUAUAUUUGAGCAUAUUUUAUCUGUUUGCACCUUGCCACCAACCGAAUUAAUCCUCAUGGGCGGCAUCAUUGCCUCUACUAAGAUGUUAUGCAUUUCUACCCAUAUUGCAGUGACAAAUGAAUGAGUUGCACCAGUAUCAAAUAGCACUUUUGAGGGAUAAGAUUCGACUGAGAACAUACCUACUGCCACAUCUGGUGCAUCCUGGAUCACUUCGGCCUCCAAGUGGUUCACCUUUCCACGGUUGUACGCUUGGCCACGAUUGCCUGCUGCCUGCUGCAGUACACCUUGCCUUGUUGGAGCAUUGGGGUUGGUCUGCUGCUGCGCCAUCUUCUUUGGGCACUGCAUCGCCCAGUGGCCUUGUUCUCCAUAGUGGAAACAUCCUCUGCCUCCUCCUUGUGUUGGGGCUGCUUGGUUGCUCUGAUUUGCUGCGGGGCAGGAAGGCGAGGUGUCUGGUUGUUCUACUUCUGAUACUGAUUCCCUCCUUGCUGGCUGUUCUGACGAUACUGCUGCUGUUGUGGGUACUGCCUCUGAAACUGCUGCUGAUGCGGACGCUGAUUCUGAUUCUGAUAUCCCUGUGGGUGACCAGGCCUGCCUUGCUGAGAUGAACUGCCUGAGAAGCGGGGACGGCUGAUGCUCCUGGGCUGGGGCCCACUCAUCUUGCGCUUCCGAUCUUCCAUAUCCUUACGCUUCUUCUCAGUCAUAACUGCCCUAUCGAUCAGAUGCUGGAAGGUGGGGAAGGUGUGGUUCAUCAGCUGGUAGUGCAGGGGAUCCACCAAACCCCUCAUGAACCUGUACUGCCUUUUAGCAUCAGUGUUGACAUCUUCAGGUGCAUAACGAGACAGCUGCAGAAACUUGUCUCUGUAUUCACUAACAGAUAGGGGUCCCUGCUUCAGAGCCAGAAACUCCUCCUUCUUCACGAUCAUCAGUCCCUCUGGCACAUGGUACCUGCGGAAACUCUCGCUGAACUCUUCCCAGGUGAUGGCUUUGGGGUCAACAUGGGUAGCGAGGUAGGACUCCCACCAGGACUGGGCUGCUCCCCUUAGCUGGCGGGGACCAUACAGAACCUUCUCCCUAUCAUCACAUUGGGCGGUGCGCAGUUCCCUUUCCACUGCGCGCAGCCAGUCUUCUGCAUCCAUGGGAUCAGCAGAAUGGGCGAAGGUAGGAGGGUGCCCUCUCAUGAACUCGCCACGCUUAUCCCGUGGCAUCUGGGGCAUCUGCACUUGCAACUGGGGUUGGGGUUGCUGUUGAGCCUGCUGCAUGGCGGCGGGUCUGCCCAAUGGCCUGCACUGCCUGAGUCUACAUCAAGAACAUCUGCUCCACAGUCAUCGGGGGUGGUGGGGGAGGCUGCCUCUGGUGUUCCUCCUGCUGGGCAUGCUGCUCUUGCUGAGCACGCCUGUUGCAUCGGCGCCUGUUGUCAGACAUCUGUGGAAGACAUUCAUACAUCAGCAUUGAUCUUACAAUCCUUCAGCAUAAGAAAAGGGAAUACAGAAUUCUUCAUGACACUGAGUGAACAAAGAGCUUCACUGAUCCUCAUUAUGAUUCAACACAACUUCUCAGAUAGAAAGGAAAGUAGAAGUAAAUGGUUUCCCAACUAAAUAACUGAUUUCAUUAAUAUCACUAGCUAAGCCAAACUGCAGGGGAAACCCACAGGUUGGCAACAGUCAUUACAAAGAUUCGAAUCUAGUACAAGUUCAUCAUAACAAGCAUGUAAGCAACUGAUAAGCAAACUAAACUGAAUGGAAGCAACUGGUAAGCAAACUAAACUGAAGGGAAGCAACUGAUAAGCAAACUAAACUAACUAUCUAAGACUGAGACAUCUGACUUAAGGAUUAUCACAAACUUCGACGCUACCGAUCUAAGGAUCCAGAUCUAUCCCGGUCUUACAGGCAGGGGAACCAUAAGUGUGGUGACCACGUGGCGGCGAGCGGUAAGGGUGCUGAGUCCCAACAGGAGCGGGGGAACCACCCUCCUGGUGGCGGCGCUCUGCAAGCUCAGCAUGCAACUCAGCAAUCUCCAUUCGAGCCCUGCUUAGCUCGUCCAGAGAGUGAUCCAGCUCGGUGUUAAGCACUGCGACUAGGUUGACUGUGCUGCUCAACCUAGGGUUAUCCUCACCAACAGGUGAGACAACCACACUCUCUGUGCUACCAGUAGAACGACGGGGGUAGUACCGAAGGUUAAGACCGUCGGCCACCCCACCGAACAAGGAACAGUACUGGGAGAGUGCACGUCGUGCUGCAUCCUGCAUAGCGCCUCUGCAGUGUCCCUCUUGGAGAUGGAGUAGUGCUCCGAAACGGCCUCCGCACCCCGGAGGUCAUCCUCCGGACGGCGAACUAGGCAGGUAGCCUCCCAGCGGUCCGGGUACCUCCCGCGACUGUGCUGGUAGACUACACAACGAUACUCGAUCGACCAGGUGUGCCUGUCGAAAGCCUGGCGCAGCAAGGUGUCGAGUGCGUCGUGGAAGUGACAACCGCGAGCGGCGUCACGGGUGAUGGGUCGGGCGACCCAACCUUCCGCCUCCUGCGGCUCAGAGGACUCCGUGCUGUGGUCUGAGUCGUCGUCGUCGGGGUCUCCUCCAGGACCUCCUCCAGUAGCUCCUCCAACAGCCGGGGCGUCCCGCGGUGGUGCAGGGGGUGCCUCCAGCUGGGCAACAGAGGAACGGCGCCUCACGGACUCCACCUCCUGCUGAGGUGGGGAGGAAGAGCCCUGCUGUCUCUGUGCUGACGCCGGCGUUCCUGCUCCUCACGCAGGCGGUGGUGCAGUCUCUCCAGGUGACUCGACUGACCGGACACGGUGCGGCGCAGAGGACGCUCCACAAGUCGAGACGGCAGGAAAGGAAUCACCGACUUACGUGCAGUGUGUCUAAGACGAGCCAUCUACAAAAGACACCGUAAGCACAAGAGUAAGAACAGAACUAAUAUGACAAGUGCAUAAACCAUAGACAGAACAAGAUAAAAAUUUUAACAAGGUAUAAUAUAGUAUAUAUAUGUAGUAAAACAUAGGGUUGGUCGAGGUGACCGAUUUUUGAAGUAACAUCAGAGGUCAAGGUGAGAGGGAAGGUCAAUAGUCCUUAGUUCGACCAGUGCUACUCUAGGUUAGCGGUCCUACAGUCAGCACGGCUUUGAUACCACUUAUGUCACACCCGGUUUUGGAAGGUAAACCGAAUGCGAACUAUGUACGUGCCAGGAUCAGAACUCACGUACACAGCGAUUACAUAAAUGAACAUCAUCACACAGUGCUCGAAUAACAACAUAAAGGGGUAUUAACUUAUUACAUCACAGAGUCAUAGACAUCCACAUAAUCAUCAACUUAACUGCUAAAUCAAAGUGCUAGCGAAACGCAGUAAAGGUAAGGCCUUCACAGGCAGCUGACUGGGGGUUGCCGCCAACCCACACCUAGAACUCGUCAUAAUCUUGGAAUUCCUGGAAGUCUCCUUCCACAGCUUCAUCUUCUCCUAAGCAGUGGUUGCAACAGGGACAACCUGGUGUUUUGUGGUAAAGCAAGGAUGAGUACACAUCAACGUACUCAGCAAAUGCCCCGUUUGGCUGAAGUGGACUAGCUUUAUGUGGAGUUAAGCUCAAGCAGUUGAUUUUAGUUGGUCAGGUAUUUAUUGUUAGUAGAAGCCAGAUUUUAUCAUCAAGCCCAAGUUAUAGACCCAAACGUACUUCCUCCGAGAGGAAAUACCAAAAUGCAUAAUUAAAGUCACCAUCAUUAACCAUCAACAUUAAAGUAAUCAUCCAAAGUGUAUCCGGGGUAUCUCUAAUCAAAGAGGAUCCCAAGGCUGCUCUUAACCGUGAGCACGGCUGAUAUAUCAAUUUCACUACCCUCUGCAGAGGUCGCACACUUUACCCAUGAGUCGUGAUUCCCGUUCUGCCCGGAGAGAGCUACUCUCCAUUGACCACUACCUAGGUGGCCUGGCAGGGUAUCACUACGUAGCCUUUACAAAGAUUCCCUAGAGGUCAUAGCCGCCCGUUAGGUUUCUCCAGUUUGAUAAACACAGUACCCCUCCCCACAGGAGAGUGACUAACAAAAAAGCAAAACGAAAGAACCUCGGCACUCAGCCUCGGUAGAGCAAGCACUGUGCCUGGACCCCAUUGACGGCACGACGGCGAAGCAACUACACCUCUAGUUCCUCUAAUUAAUUAGCUAAGGGCUUCUCAUUUCACCCUCAUGGUUGCACUGUUAUCCCGGGUGGUCUCUCAACGAAUAGGUCCUUACGGAGAGGUACUCAGGAAACAGCCUGAGCCCCCUAGAGUAUCACAAGAUCAUCAAUAUCAUCAGGAUAACAGUAUCGUAUCAUAAAUAGUCACAUCAUGUUCAUUGAUUAGGUUGAGGCAAUAGCAAAAUGCUAACCAUAAUAACCCAAAAGGUCAUCAAGGAUAAGGUAAAGUAUAAAGCUAGUCAAUCCUUAGGUUUCAAUUAAGUAAUGCGGGAAAGUGAAUUAUAAGUGAAUAGGACAUAAUGGGUCAGAGGACACUUGCCUUCACCAAACUGCUGAUCAGGGACUUCUUCUGCCACUUCCUCGGGAAACACAGACUGCCCGUUGUCUACGUAAAGUAAUCAUUCACACUAUGCACUUGGGAAAUAACAAACAAAAACAGUAAACCAAGCAUAUGCAGCAGAGAGAUCACAAGUUCACAGUAGAAAAGGAUUGGCAAUCUGGUGUUCCCUAGGUCUGGGGUAGAUGACUAUACAAAAUGAUUCAUUAUCCACUAAUCAGGUCUAAGUCAGUGGUGGGGUUAAAUCAUUACAUGGUGUUAAGUCCAUAAACUUAGGUGCUCCAACUUUUAUUAAAAUCUUCUAUCUUUUAUUUAUCUCAAAUAGGGGUUCCAAUAACAUUAGUUUUACCCUAAUGAUCAACUAUUAAUUGGGACAUAAAAACAGCAGGGAAACAUUGUUUAAAUAGAUAGAUAAAAAUAUUGUGAGCAUUUUGCAAUUUGAAGCACCUAAUUUGGAGUUCAUAUGACAAAGUUAUGAAUUUUACAAGAUUAGGGAUUAAAAAUAUGCCUUGAAUACUUAUUUUGGAUUAAAUAAAAGGUCCGAGGACCUAACUGCUAAGAUCCAGGGACGGCGGGUUAAUUUGCAGAAAGCCGGGUGUCUCUUUAAGAAAAAGCGCAGGCGAAGGGGUAUCGGGCUUCUACGGUCGUUGGAUCUCGGAUCAACGCUCGAGAUUAGAUCCGCGGGCGAGCGCGCGAGCGCGCGGCGGCCUGAGCGGCUGACAGGCGGGGCCCAAAUGGCAGAAAGGCGGGGUGCGGGGGGGGGGGGGGGGAAACGGCCCUGGGCCGUUGGAUCUCAAGCGAACGGCUAGGGUUGGGCUCGGCCUAAUUGAAACAGGGUCGUUCGAUCUGGAAUGGACGGCGGGGAUUGGGUGGCCGGCUUCUGUCUUCUCCUACGGCUAGCAGAGGCGGCAGCGCCCGCUCCCGCGGCGGAGGACUCGCCGGAGACGAGGGGCGCGGGGGCUCUGUGGGUCCUUGGGGCGACCUGGGUGGCCGGGGAGGUCGGGGAGAGCGUGGGGAACCUUCCGGUGGGGACUGGGUCGGGGCAGGGGCACCGGAGGGGGGCGGCCCACGGCGAAGCGGCUCGGCGGUGGCGCUAAAGGACUCCGGCGAGCAAUUAAACGCGACGGGGGGCAAUAAAAAGGUCGGAAGGGGGCGGGAGAGGUUCCUUACCUCAAGGCGAACUCCGGGGACCCCUCGAUGGCGACGGAGACGCGGCGGCAGCCCGAGUCGACGGUGGCGGACCUCGGCGGCUGCGCAGAGAACGGCGGUGAGCGUGGGCAGAGGGAUUCGGAGAGGGAGAGGGGAAAUUGGGGCGCGUCCCGGGUUGCGGACGUCGGGGCGGAGCUCACCGUGGUAGAAGGCACGGCGGGGCUCCAACGGCGGCGGAGAAACGAGCUCGGGCGGCGGUGGUUUAAUGGCAGCGGCGCUCUGGCGUGUGCGCAGCGUGGGGGAGGUGGAAGAGGGGUCUGCAGGUGCGCAAAUGAGGGAGGGGGAGAGGGCGAGCGAGGUUCUGGGCUCAAGUGGCCGAGGCGAGGUGGUUGCGAGCUCCACGCGCGACGUGGGCGCGGAGUCCGCGGCACGCACGGCUCGGGGCGGCGGUUACACGGAGACGGAGGAGCUGACAGCCGGGGCCCGCGGGCAAAGAGAGUGGGGGAAGCGGACGCGGACGUGGGGAAAGCGGCUGCGCUGACGGGCGGGCCCGCCAGGGCAGAGAGAGGAGAGGGGGGAAGGAAGGCGCGCGCGCGGGAUGGGCCUGAUGGGCCGAAAGGCCGAGGGGGCGGGGGAAGUGGGCUUCUUUCCUUUUUCUUUUAUUCUGGCAUUUGUUUUCCCUUUUCCUUUUAUUUAUUCUAUUUGAUUCAAAUCCAAAUAGGCCACAAAUUCAAAUUAGCAUUUCCAAGUAUUAUGCACCAAACAAAAAUGAAAUCUAGGGUUCAACAUGAUGCAACAUUUCAUACUCCCUUGGAGUUUAGCCUACUAGUUUAUAAUUACAAAUAAAAAUAACCACUCUUCUUCUAUAGAAAAGAGAAAGAGGAGGUUGGGGAAAGGUGUGAGAAGAGAAAUAACACCUGAAUUUGUGAAUAUGAGCAAAGAAAUUUUAUACCCCCAAAUUCAGGGUGUUACAAAGCUGGCCAACAGUCAAGGCGAGGUCUACAGCAACGCUUGGAACAUCCAAUAGCUACGUCGCUUCUACCCUUAAGAUGCUUUCAAGUUAUUCAUAUACCUCGCUCCCACGCAAAGUUUAGUCAUCAAGGAAGGGUCAGCUUUGCCUCGGCAAAGCUCGACCCUCCCUCGGGGGCUAAAAGGGGGAACCCCCUCUGCGUCGAAUUUUUUCCUCGAAAAAAAUCCUUUCUGCCAGAAUGUCUUUCGUGCUUUUCGACUACUUCGAAAGUGGAUCCCGAAAACGACGGAGUACACGUAAGCAGCCAAGGCUGACCGAGCCGAGGGACUCCUACGCCUCCGGGAUACAGAUACCUCACUCAUCACCUUCUGCGAUAAGUAACUCGCGUUUGGAUAAGCGAUUCCACGGACCGAACAAGUCUUCACGCUCGAAAGCUCCUCUGCCGAAGUGAUUCUUCGGGCCUUCUCGACUGCGUCGGUGGCAGAACCCUAUGGACGGGCAAGGGUGCGCGUAAGCGGCAAGGCCGACCGAGCUGAGGGAUUCCUACGCCUCCGGGAUACGGAUACCUCACUCAUCACCUUCCGUGAAAAGCAACUCUCGCUCGCACAAGACAAUUCUGUUACCGACGAAAAAGUCCAGAUACUCGAAACAAGAGGAAAAGAAGUGCAGCUUUACAACACGGCGAGGGUGUGUUUGGGCCUCGGCGGCCGCAGAAAACACACGCUACAAGAUAAUCCGAUCCUGCAGGCUCGGAUCUUGACGGUUGAAGGGAGCAGCAGCACCCUCGGCGUCAACUACACCUUCGGCGAGGUCCGGCCUAGCCUCGGACGGUGAGCCGGUCCGAGGAUCUCCACCCUGAAGGACGACUUCAUCAUCACGCCCGGGCCAUCGCCACCAGGGUCUCCUCCAAGAAUCCGGCUCGAGCAGGCGGCUCGGCUGGUCACCCCGAGGCCUCGGCCAGUUGUCCCCCGAAGACAUCAGCCCGGCCCGAGGCCUCGGCAGAUCAACUCCGGCGCCGGUCCCGCUAACGGACGACCCGGCCAGGCUCCGGCCGACCAAGUCUUCUUUUCGAGCCAACUCUGCCUCUAUCCGUGCUGACACCGCUACCCCUGGCUUCGGCUCAUCGAAGAGCGGCCGAGGGGUUCCUUUAACUAAGCAAGAGAAGCCUCGGACAGAAAGGCCGACCGAGCCGAGAGACUCCUACGCCUCCGGGAUACGGAUACCUCACUCGUCACCUUUGUACGGGGCGACUCACGCUUGGUGAAGCGGUUCAGACAACCAACAGGCGAGUCUUAGUGCUCGAAAAUGAGGAAAAAACACGGCUCCACGCCAAAAAUACAUACACGUUCAAGCCCCGACAGCCACAAUGAACAAAAACACUGGCAUUCAAGGUGCCAUUACAAACGGAACUCCGGUUCCGUCCCCGCGGGUAUGAACGACCUCCACACCGAGGAGCCUGCGGGGCGACAAGUUCCGGGCGACUCGCCAGCGACCUCUGCAGCAGCAGCUAUGGUCCCAGGACGGGCGUGGCGACCGGAAGGCUCUCGUUCGCGUCCCCGCUCAAGGGGCACGAACCAGACAUCAAAGCCAAAGAGCAGGCUGCUCCAAAGCGCACCGGUAGGCCCUCGCUCCCGUCCUCGCCGCAAAAACGAGGAAGAGGGCGGAAUGUUGCAUCCUAGCUGGGCAGCAACAGUUCGCCUUCCCCGGCAUGGCUGGAGGAUGCCUCCUCCGCAGAGCUGGGGGAUGGUUUCCACCACCAGAAGCUGGAAGAGGAGGUGGCCAGCCGACCCGUGCGGGAGGUAGAGCCCUGGCUCGCCUCGCUCUCCGCCCCAGCAAGGAUGGUAAGCAUCCUUGAAGCUGAGGGAGAGGCGGGGGCCGCCGCCCGGCUUGCUUCUCCCCAUCUAGGGGCUGGUGGUCACCGUCUUGGGUGACCACCGACGGAGGGGUGCAGCCGGGUCGCGUGAUGAAAAACCUUGAAGCCGAACGAUGGCUGAAAGGUACCAACUCCCAUGGAGUUGCAUUCCUCCAACGACAAGGUGGAAGGACCGCGGGUGUCCCCCAUCCGGGGGCUCGGAAGGCGGAAAGACACGAUGCAUAAGGGAGCGCGAAGACAUGGUCGCCUUUCAAGGGGGUCACCCUCCUUUUAAAGGCGACUCUCCCUACCUGCGUCCCCAGCCGUCGUGGGCUGAGUCUUCUCCAACACGCUCCAAGGUCCUCCCCCUACGGUGCGGGGGCUGGGUCCCACACGUCAUGCAAACUGGCCCAGAGUAGAAGAAGCAAAACCGCCGCGCGCGGUGCAUGCAACCGCCCAGCGGUUACAAGCACCCCUCCACUUUCGCCCAGACCAGCGGAUGAAAGGGCGGGCAGCCAUGCAGGCGGCAUGCAACCGCGCCAAGUGGGCGCACCUCUCCGACUUCCAACACGCCAACGCGUCAUGCAAUCGGCGCGCCGGUCGCUACGUGCAAGCAACUGCACCGCCACUCGCACCACUACCGCGCCUCCUCGAUUGCGGAACCAGUACCGUGACUCGAGGCGACCCAGCGCACGACCUAGCAGCGCCAGCCUGGCACGACGAUCAAUACGACCAAAAAUGGGCCGGCAGUAAUAGCGGUGGCAGGCGGGCAGGAGCAGCGGUCACGUCAUCAGCCAAGCUUACGUCCCAUCCGGGGACAGCAAGAGAACCCUCUCUCACGGCGUGAAGACAGCGCGCUCGUGUUCCGUUCCUCGAACGGCUCGCGCACGCGCAACGGCCACCUCGCGAACCGCCCGCUCCGUCGCAUUAACUCCGCGGCGCGACAGGCGGCGCCUCUGGCGGGGGAAGCGAGCGACGCUUCGCCUUCGCCAUAAUGACCGCGUAAAAAAAGGUACGCCACAUCAUUCGAUUUCGUAUCCUUUUCCUUUUUCUCUUUCUCUCUCUUACAACAGGGACCGGGAAAGGGGGAUACCCCGAAAAGGAUCCUUCUCCGUGAAGGGAACAGGCUCCGAGCCUCCCUACUGAUCAGAGGUUCGAAGGCUGGCCCCUCAGAGGGGUUCAACAGCCGCCUCAGAGCGCGUGGGCUCCACACCCACUACUGGUCAGAGGUUCGAAGGCCGGCCCCUCGGAAGGGUUCAACGGCUGCCUCAGGCCACUCGGGCUCCGCGCCCACUACUGAUCAGGGGUUCAAAGGCUGGCCCUCGAAGGGUUCAUAGCCGCCUCAGACAUAGAGCGAGGGAUGACCAUGGGUACGUUCGAUACAUAACCAAGGCUCGGGCUACGCUCCCGAGGUACCCUAGGACAUUUCCGAGACCAGCGGGAACGAUCUUGUAACAGAAUCCCAUCAGAGGGAGGCAUCGAGCCCUCGGACCCCGUCGACAGGGGACCGAGUCCGACAAAUCACCCGCAGGUACUUUUGGGCGCGCCUCUAGGCCUCUAGCCGACCCCUAACAAAUGGGGCACGAACGUCUGCUCGGAUUACCCACCAGCAGCUCACCGGAGACACCAUGUUCGGCGCCCUCCGAGGGCAACAUGGCGCUUUCCCCCCCUCCUCCUUGCGGAAAGGCGACGUAGGGGCGUAUGUAAAAAAAGUCGAGUCUGUCCCUGACCGUCCUCUCGCCCUGUGCAGAGGCUCGGGGGCUGCUCUCGCAAACCCGGCUCCGGCCAAACCGUUGACAGCGUCAACCUACCAGCCCGAGAACUUGGGACCCGACCGUGCACCCGGGCUACGGCCAGCUCGCAUGAGGGAACGACUAGACCAGCCGGACCAUUGCGCGAGGCAUUAAGACCUCAGAGGAGUCAAACCACUCCUCCGAGGCCUCGGGGGCUACACCCGGCGGGUGCGCUCGCACGCACCCACCGGAAAAAAACGCAACCGAGAAAGGCUGGUCCCCUUGAAAAAAAGUGCGACAAAAGCCUCCAAGUGAGUAUUAACACUCCCUUCGAGGCUCGGGGGCUACUGUCGGGGACCAUAAUUAGGGGUACCCUCAAGGCUCCUAAUUCUCAGCUGGUAACCCCCAUCAGCACAAAGCUGCAAAGGCCUGAUGGGUGCGACUAAGUCAGGGAUCGGUCCAUUCGAGGGACUCGAUCACGCCUCGCCCGAGCCCAGCCUCGGGCAAGGGCAGCCGACCCCGGAGGAUCUCUGUCUCGCUCGAGGCCCCCUCCAGCGACGAACAUACUUCCGGCUCGCCCGAGGCCCAGUCUUCGCCAAGAAGCAACCCUGGCCAAAUCGCCACGCCAACCGACCAAAUCGCAGGGGCGUUUAAUGCAAAGGUGGCCUGACACCUUUAUCCUGACGUGCGUCCUCCAGUCGACAGAGCCGAAGUGACCGCAGUCACUUCACCGCUCCACUGACCGGCCUGACAGAAGGACAGCGCCGCCUGCGCCGCUCCGACUGCUAUGCCACUCGACAGAGUGAGGCUGACAGGCAGUCAGGCCCGGCCUCAGGCACCAUAGGAAACUCCGCUCCGCCCGACCCAGGGCUCGGACUCGGGCUCAGCCCCGGAAGACGGCGAACUCCGCUCCGCCCGACCCAGGGCUCGGACUCGGGCUCAGCCCCGGAAGACGGCGAACUCUGCUCCGCCCGACCCAGGGCUCGGACUCGGGCUCAGCCCCGAAAGACGGCGAACUCCGCUUCGCCCAACCCAGGGCUCGGACUUGGGCUCAGCCCCGAAAGACGGCGAACUCCGAUCCGCCCGACCCUAGGGCUCGGACUCGGGCUCAGCCCCGGAAGACGGCGAACUCCGAUCCGCCCGACCCCAGGGCUCGGACUCGGGCUCAGCCCCGGAAGACGACGAACUCCACUUCGCCCGACCCUAGGGCCCAGACUCAGCCCUGGCUUCAGCCGACAGUCUCCGCCUCGCCCGACCCAGGGGCUCGGACUCGACCUCGGCCUCGGAAGACAGACUCAACCUCGACCUCGGAGGAGCCUCCACAUCUCCCAACCUAGGGCGCGGACCGACCACGUCAACAGGAGGCGCCAUCAUUACCCUACCCCAAGCUGACUCAGGCUACGGGGAACAAGACCGGCGUCCCAUCUGGCUCGCUCCGCCAGACAAGUAAUGAUGGCGCCCCGCACGCUCUAUGACGACGGUGGCUCUCAGCCCCCUUACGGAAGCGAGAGGACGUCAGCAAGGACUCAACAGCCCCGACAGCUGUCCUUCCGCCAGGCUCCAGCACUCCUCCGAUGGCCACGACACCACAUGAACCGUGUGCCAAAACCUCUCCGGCUGCCACGAUGGCAUGUACUUAGGGCGCUAGCUCUCCUCCGCUAGACACGUUAGCACUCUGCUACACCCCCAUUGUACACCUGGAUCCUCUCCUUGCGCCUAUAAAAGGAAGGACCAGGGCCCUCUUACAGAAGGUUGGCCGCGCGGGGAAGAGGACGGGACAGGCGCUCGCGUGAGGCCGCUCGCUCCCCCUCCCGCGUGGACGCUCGUAACCCCCUACUGCAAGCGCACCCGACCUGGGCGCGGGACGAACACGAAGGCCGCGGGAUUUCCACCUCUCUCACGCCUUCUUCCCCCCUUCGCGCUCGGCCUCGCGCCGACCCAUCUAGGCUGGGGCACGCGGCGACAUUUCACUCGUCGGCCCAGGGACCCCCCCGGUCUCGAAACGCCGACAGAUACCAAAGCCCAAACUUAGGAGUAUAAACUAAAUAUCUCAAGAUUCGUUUUACGGCCGUAAGGUGAGCUUCCUUAGUGUCGGCUUGGAAUCUUGCACACAUGCAUACGGAAAGCAUGAUAUCUGGUCGAGAUGCACAUAAAUAGAGUAGAGAGCCAAUCAUCGACCGGUAUACCUUUUGAUCCACGGACUUACCUUCCGUGUCGAGGUUGAGAUGCCCAUUGGUUCCCAUGGGUGUCUUGAUGGGUUUGGCAUCCUUCAUCCCAAACUUGCUUAGAAUAUCUUGAGUAUACUUUGUUUGGCUUAGGAAGGUGCCCUCUUGGAGUUGCUUUACUUGAAAUCCUAAGAAAUACUUCAACUCCCCCAUCAUAGACAUCUCGAAUUUCUGUGUCAUAAUCCUACUAAAUUAUUCACAUGUAGACUCGUUAGUAGACCCAAAUAUAAUAUCAUCAACAUAAAUUUGGUAUACAAACAAGUCAUUUUCAAGAGUUUUAGUGAAUAAAGUAGGAUCGGCCUUUCCGACUUUGAAUCCAUUAGUGAUAAGGAAAUCUCUAAGACAUUCAUACCAUGCUCUUGGGGCUUGCUUGAGCCCAUAAAGCGCCUUAGAGAGUUUAUAAACAUGGUUAGGGUACUCACUAUCUUCAAAGCCGGGAGGUUGCUCAACAUAAACUUCUUCCUUGAUUGGUCCAUUGAGGAAGGCACUCUUCACGUCCAUUUGGUAAAGCUUGAAGCCAUGGUAAGUAGCAUAGGCCAAUAAUAUACGAAUUGACUCAAGCCUAGCUACGGGUGCAUAGGUUUCACCGAAAUCCAAACCUUCGACUUGGGAGUAUCCCUUGGCCACAAGUCGGGCUUUGUUCCUUGUCACCACACCAUGCUCAUCUUGCUUGUUGCGGAACACCCAUUUGGUUCCUACAACAUUUUGGUUAGGACGUGGAACUAAAUGCCAUACCUCAUUCCUCGUGAAAUUGUUGAGCUCUUCUUGCAUCGCCACCACCCAAUCUGAAUCUUGAAGUGCUUCCUCUACCCUGUGUGGCUCAAUAGAGGAAACAAAAGAGUAAUGCUCACAAAAAUGUGCAACACGAGAUCUAGUGGUUACCCCCUUAUGAAUGUCGCCGAGGAUGGUGUCGACGGGGUGAUCUCGUUGGAUUGCUUGGUGGACUCUUGGGUGUGGCGGCCUUGGUUCUUCAUCCUCCUUGUCUUGAUCAUUUGCAUCUCCCCCUUGAUCAUUGUCGUCAUCUUGAGGUGACUCAUUUGCUUGAUCUUCUCCUUCAUCAACUUGAGCCUCAUCCUCAUUUUGAGUUGGUGGAGAUGCUUGCGUGGAGGAGGAUGGUUGAUCUUGUGCAUUUGGAGGCUCUUCGGAUUCCUUAAGACACACAUCCCCAAUGGACAUGUUCCUUAGCGCGAUGCACGGAGCCUCUUUAUCACCUAUCUCAUCAAGAUCAACUUGCUCUACUUGAGAGCCAUUAGUCUCAUCAAACACAACGUCACAAGAAACUUCAACUUGUCCAGAGGACUUGUUAAAGACUCUAUAUGCCCUUGUGUUUGAAUCAUAUCCUAGUAAAAAGCCUUCUACAGUCUUAGGAGCAAAUUUAGAUUUUCUACCUCUUUUGACAAGAAUAAGGCAUUUGCUACCAAAGACUCUAAAAUAUGAAAUGUUGGGCUUUUUACUGGUUAGGAGUUCAUAUGAUGUCUUCUUGAGGAUUCGGUGUAGAUAUAACCGGUUGAUGGCGUAGCAAGCGGUGUUGACCGCCUCGGCCCAAAACCGAUCCGAAGUCUUGUACUCAUCAAGCAUGGUUCUUGCCAUGUCCAAUAGAGUUCGAUUGUUCCUCUCCACUACACCAUUUUGUUGUGGCGUGUAGGGAGAAGAGAACUCAUGCUUGAUGCCCUCCUCCUCAAGGAAGCCUUCAAUUUGUGAGUUCUUGAACUCCGUCCCGUUGUCGCUUCUAAUUUUCUUGAUCCUCAAGCCGAACUCAUUUUGAGCCCGUCUCAAGAAUCCCUUUAAGGUUUCUUGGGUAUGAGAUUUUUCCUGCAAAAAGAACACCCAAGUGAAGCGAGAAUAAUCAUCCACAAUAACUAGACAUUACUUACUCCCGCCGAUGCUUACAUAAGCUAUCGGGCCGAAUAGAUCCAUGUGUAGGAGCUCCAGUGGCCUGUCAGUAGUCAUGAUGUUCUUGUGUGGAUGAUGGGCACCAACUUGCUUCCCUGCUUGGUAUGCGCUACAAAUCCUGUCUUUCUCAAAAUGAACAUUUGUUAAUCCUAAAAUGUGUUCUCCCUUUAGAAGCUUAUGAAGAUUCUUCAUCCCAACAUGGGCUAGUCGGCGGUGCCAGAGCCAACCCAUGUUAGUCUUAGCAAUUAAGCAAGUGUCGAGUUCAGCUCUAUCAAAAUCUACCAAGUACAGCUGACCCUCCAACACUCCCUUAAAUGCUAUUGAAUCAUCACUUCUUCUAAAGACAGUGACACCUACAUUAGUGAAUAGACAGUUGUAGCCCAUUUGACAUAAUUGAGAAACGGAAAGUAAAUUGUAAUCUAAUGAAUCUACAAGAAAAACAUUGGAAAUAGAAUGGUCAGGAGAUAUAGCAAUUUUACCCAAUCCUUUGACCAAACCUUGAUUUCCAUCCCCGAAUGUGAUAGCUCGUUGGGGAUCUUGGCUUUUCUCAUAGGAAGAGAACAUCUUCUUCUCCCCUGUCAUGUGGUUUAUGCACCCGCUAUAGAUGAUCCAACUUGAGCCCCCGGAUGCAUAAAACUACAAAACAUGUUUAGUUCUUGACUUUAGGUACCCAAAUGGUUUUGGGUCCUUUGGCAUUAGACACAAGAACUUUGGGUACCCAAACACAAGUCUUUGAUCCCUUGUGCUUGCCCCCAACAUACUUGGCAACUACCUUGCCGGAUUUGUUGGUUAAGACAUAAGAUGCAUCAAAGGUUUUAAAUGAAAUGUCAUGAUCAUUUGAUGCAUCAGGAGUUUUCUUCUUAGGCAACUUAGCACGGGUUGGUUGCCUUGAACUAGAUGUCUCACCCUUAUACAAAAAUGCAUGGUUAGGGCCAGAGUGAGACUUCCUAGAAUGAAUUCUCCUAAUUUUGCUCUCGGGAUAACCGAUAGGGUAUAAAAUGUAACCCUCGUUAUCCUGAGGCAUGGGAGCCUUGCCCUUAAUAAAGUUGGACAAUUUCUUAGGAGGGGCAUUAAUUUUGACAUUGUCCCCCUUUUAGAAGUUAAUGCCAUCCUUAAUGCCAGGGCGUCUCCCACUAUAGAGCAUGCUUCUAGCAAAUUUAAAAUUUUCAUUUUCGAGUUCAUGCUCGGCAAUUUUAGCAUCUAAUUUUGCUAUAUGAUCAUUUUAUUGUUUAAUUAAAGUCAUGUGAUCAUGAAUAGCAUUAAUAUCAACCUUAAUUACAAGAAUAUAACCUUAAUUACACACACAAAAUAAUAAAAGUGAAUUAUUGUUUUAAGCUGUGGUGAGCUUUUUCUUUGACACAAGCUUGGCAAAAGAAGUGUGGGAACACCAGGUGUUCCCGAAGGACGUACCGAAUUAAGGUUCGUUGUAUGUGGCUGCUUUUCAGGACCCAAUUUGUCAUGAGAUGCUUUGGCUACCACCUGUUCUGCAUGUGAUGAGUGUUGUUUGACAGGACUGUUAAUGGAGGUUCUGCUUCCAGAAGCGAUCAUAUGCUCACUAUAGUCCCGGCUCAAGCAAGCACAUGCCCUCUCCAGCGCGUCUUGUUCUUCUGACAUGAUUUUGUCAUGAUAAAAUUGCUCAAUUUUGAAACAAGGGUUCUAGAGAUUGAUUUUGUCGUGAUAAAAUUGCUCGGCACAUGUCCUCACCACCAUGCUCAAUUUUGCAUGCCUCUAUAAAUCAUUGACGCAGACUGAAACAAAUCUUUUUAUUGGGAGUGUUUUUAGACGAGAGGCAAACUUAUCAGCCGUUCUUACAAGUCCUAACCAUAGUAGUGUAAAUAAUGUUGAUGGUCAUUAUCUUCAAAUAAACAAACAAAUAAAUAAAAGUUAUCUCCGAACGUAAAGAAGCACAAAUAAUGAACGAAAAUAAUGAAGGGCUAAAGCCUCCUUGUCGUCUAACAAAGUUUAUGAUGCCUCGACACGAAGAGAUUCUGUAAUUAGAGCCAGAACUGUCGUUUGGCCUCAUUGAUAAAAAUGAAAAAAAGACAUUACAGGCUCAUGGUCAAAGAGUUGAAGUACAAAACACCACUAAAUACUGAAACCUAAUGCUACGAGAAAAUUAAUUAAGUCAUGGAGGCAUCAGCUUGACGUACUACGUGCUCCAGGUACCGGUGUAAAUGAAGCAACUAAUAAAGUGAACCCAAAAUAUCAACGUAGUAUCUUCUCAUGUACACUGUAUUUAUGUUUCUCCACUCCUCUUGUAUGCUCCCCUCCUCCACCAUUAUAUUUUGGGAAAUUUGGAUCCAUACAUUAAAAGAUCACCACUUUGGAUCCAUACCAUUACUAUAUCACUUACAUGUGGGUCCAUAUGAGUCAAUGACAUGUGGGGUCCAUGGUAUAUAUCUAAAGUUUGGAUCUUUUAAUGAUAUAGAUCCAAUUGUUCCUUAUAUUUUAGUUACCGAGAACAAGAGGGAGCCAAGGAAGUGAGGGCAUCAUGCGUGCAGCAUGGACCAACCUUUUUACCCCUUUCUUCUACUUCCUCCUGUUUUGGUUGGAUCGGCGUGACCGCGUGAGAAUGGGAUGUAUCAGGGCAAGGAUGAAUUCCGCUAGCGACACAAGGCCAUACGGGGCGACUGACACCUAUUAGCAUUGAUGCAUUAUUAAGGGUUCAUUUGACAGGACUUUUGUUGUGCCUUUGCUUUUUUUCCAUGAGACAUACCAAACAACAAUUUCACAAAAUUCUUUCUUUUGUAUUAAAGAGGUGAUGCUAAGAAAAGUGGCUUUUGCAACUUUGGCUUAUGGUAUUUUUGAAAAAAAAAACUUCUACCAAAUCAACCCAAAUCUCAAUAAAACGAACGGGGAUGUGGAAGUUUUCCCUAUAAAAAUGUAAACGGGAAAAAUUUCUCUCCCGAAGGGUAAACAAGGAUGAAGACGGGGUAGCAUUCUCAUCCCCGUUCCCCGCGGAGACUCGUUAAACUCGCAUAUGAUGAUAUUUUUGUGUAAUAGUAAAUAAAUAAGUUGUUAAGAGUUCACUUAUUACACAAAUGUGUUUAUGUAUACAUAAUGAUUUCUUAGAUCUAAUAAUGUGUAUAUGUGACAAUGUUUUAUAUUAAUAAUAUACAAAAUGCAUCCUAGUUAUAAUUUAACGGGCCGGGGAUCCCUGUUGGGGAUUUUAUCUCCGUGUGGAACAGAGACAGGGGAAAAUGUCCUGCAAGUUUUCAUGUGGAUCCCUACGUGGAAAAAUUUUCGUCGAGGGAUGGGUAUGGGGAGCUAUUCCCCGGUAGAAAAUAUCCCAUUGCCAUCCCUAGCAAUGACAACGUCGAGCGCGGGCACGCAAGCCAAGCCGAUUACGCUGUGACGGAUCACAUGCAGAUCACCGGAGAUGUCCUCACGUGGUUAACAGCUGAUCUGUUCCACUUGAUACUGAUCGAUAUGAUUGGACCUGAACAAGUACGCAUCUUCUAAAUUUGUUUAGUGUUCCAGCAGCGCCACCAAGCAUUUGCAUUUGGUGCUGUAAAUUGAGUCGUCAUGGAUGUAAAGAUAUAAAAUAUACUCAACAUUUACCACAACUAUUCAGACCGACACUCGAUUUCAGUGAUCUGGUUCUGGUAGAGUGCCCUUGCUGAGAGAACUUCCUGAGAAUCAUGAGCUCAGCGAAACCCAUUUCGAAAACUUGGGCAAAAGAAAACGCCGUCUCUGAAAACUGGUCUUUGAAAAAGUUUUGGGUUAAACUAGUUAGUUGCAUGUAGGUUGCUACGUUUUCUAACAAUAUUUCUUCUCUAUAAAACAUAAACAGGCAUGAGUUGCAGUAGUAGAAGUCGAGUAUUUUAUACCAGCAAGCAAGGUUUAAAUCCUCUACACCUUUUUUUGGAUAUUUGGUGCGCUUGCUAGAGAAGGUGACACAAGAAGAAACUCACAGUUAAAUAUAGUAGAGAUGUGCAAAGGAGAAAAGCGUGCCCUUGAGACUUGGUACUUGGACUUCUUUAACAGUUUCACUUAUGUGAGAGAGCGACUGUGCAACCGAGAUGGUUUUCAUCGGUGAAACAAAACCAUCUUCAUCUCCUUUUUCAUAAAGAUCAUCGUGGAGAACAGCAGCAGUAGUACUCCGUAAGCCGUAGCUACUAUUGCUGCUGCUAACGAGAAGGGAUUACGACGGACAGUGACGUAAUGAACUGGAGGCACGGAGCUGCAGGACUGCGAGCGUCGACGAGGCACCUGUUGUCAAGAAACAACUGGAGACGGUGGAAGGAAGAGGAAGCCCCACCAGAUUUACGAUUAGACCAACUUUAUGUACGUACACAGGCCCGUCAAUAUAUAAGGUUCAGAUCUCCUUCCUCUCUCUUGCUUCCUUCUUUUCUCGACGUAUUCUCGUCACCUUCUUCUUCAUCGGCGACGCCGCCAUUUGUGAACGAGGGUUUCAGUAUGUCACUAUGUCCAGCUCCUUCCCGGCCGGUUCUGAACCGCAAUCAGCAUUCAUCCAUACACCGAUUCGUUGCCAUUGCCUUGUUUUUUCCCAGAGGGAUCGGAAGGCCCAGAGGGAUCGGAAGGCCUCGCCCCAAUGGCGAUAGCGAUGAAGGGGAUAUUCAGAGGCCUGAAGGUGAUCGCACAGAUAUUCAGUAAGAGACGUCGUCUCUUGCAUCUUCCGUUGCAUUCCAUGUCUGUAACUGGCUUCAUAUAAAUAUGACUCAUCGAAACGGAAGGUUACUCUAGUACACGUUUAUAGAGAGUGAAAAUGCAUAUAUAAAUAUGACGAGCCAAUUCCUCAGCCAAAAAACAUUAUCCAUGCAACAUCAUAUAGGCUCGAGUAACUGUAAACGGUCAUCCACAUAGAGCAAAAUUAAAGCUCGUCUUGACAAACACAGAAAACAGCAACACCACCCAGAGAGGACUAGCUUCAUGCCGCCAAGAGCCGCCAGAGAUGCCUACAGCCUCCUUCCCCUCCUACCGCCCUUUCUGCGAGUGCUGUCCGUGGGGACCGGGGUAACGUCCUCUGCACAUAGCACAAACGCGGCAUCAGUAUAGAGAACCAAAGCAUUAUGAAACAAAGCAGGGCUAACCAGCACAGGCCAGCCAGCCCUUGAAAGAUCCAGGAUCUCCUUACCAAUGCGUCCGAUUUUCAUCCCAGAACGAGCAAGCGCCCUGAGGGCAGACUGGGCACCAGGUCCGGGGGUCUUGGUCUUGUUGCCUCCGGUGGCACGAAGCUUAAUGUGCAGUGCAGUAAUGCCAAGCUCCUGAAGACAAAAUACCGGCCACAGAUCACUUAUCCGGAUAUACAGCAACACUAAAGCAGAGCUACGUAAUCCUAGGCUUCAAUGUAAUUAUUAAGACAACGUCGUCUUUGGAUACACAGACGGACAAAUGAGUGAGU
rnacentral:lncRNA from 1 species